rnacentral:lncRNA from 1 species
GUUAAAAAGAAACCAGUACAAUGGCUCACUUUUUGCAUUUAUGAGACUAGCUCACAUAAAAUCAUGUCAUGAGCAAAAGCUUACAAAUACAUCUACAUAUACAACCAAUCAAUCAGCCAUGAAGGAAUCCAACCUGAAGACCAUGACGAUUGUAAGUGAUUCGGCAACAAACUCUAUACUGAAGAAGUACACGUAUAAAAUCAGUUUUCAACCAUGCUUGAACAGCAGCAAAGCAUUCUUUGGUUUAGGCAAAGGCAAGCUGUGAGAGCAGCACUAGAAGAGGCAAAUAUCAAAGAGAAGAGGACAUAAAAGAGGGGUUGGACAGGCUAUCCAUGAGACAACCAUCCACUCCACAGCCAGCCACAACACAAGAGUGAGGAACAGUACGCCAUAAGGCAAUGGAUCAAGAAGACACAUCAAUAUGACUUGGUUUUGGAGAAAACUCUGCAUUGUGGAUGCACACCUAAAGCAGAGUAGAUUUGAAAAAGCUAAAGCGAAAGUAUAGGACAGCUCAUCAAAGAGUUGCGGGACCUGAAAGUGAAUUCGGGGAUGAGGGCUGAGACGGGCUCUGUGGCCUCGUUGUCGCUCUUCGCAGUGUGUCUGUGUGCCUGCCUGCCUGCCCUGCCGCGCCGUGCUGCGCUGUGGCGCUGGUGAGGGUGGACGGGGGACGACAGGGCUGGGUUGUGGGGGGGGGGGGGGGUGUGUGAGAGUAAUAAUAGGCAGGCUCAGCCGACCUCCAACUCGUGCUGGUCCUCGUCCUCAGAACGUUCUAGGUUUCGUUGCCUUGGCCACACUCCAGCACAGGCAUCACCCUCUGCACUGCUCUGUUGUGCUCUCUCGGCACCCAAAUACACACCCUCUCACACCCACGCAACACCCUCUUCCUCCGCUUCUCCCUCCCUCCCUCCCUCUUCUUCCUCCUCCUCCUCCUCCGCUGCCUCGGCCUCGUAAGGCGGUGUGCCCUCUCAAUCCCCUCCCUCCCUCCUUCCUCUCCCUGGAUCGCCGCCUGCCUUCAAUUUGCUGUGUUUGUCAGCGGGUGAAAGCGUGUCGCGAGUGAUUGGGUCGCGCUGAGUGUGUGCGCUUGGGUUUGGCCGGGUGUUGUGGAGUCUGUGUGGGUUUGGGUUUGGGUUUGUUAGUGGGAACGCGGGUUCGUUGGAGCACCUGCUGCGCGGCUAUGGCGGAGAACCAGGCGAGUCUUCUGUUGCGGAAGCAGUUGAAGGAUUUGUCUAGGAAUCCCGUGGAUGGGUUCUCGGCUGGGCUUGUGGACGACUCGAGUGUGUUCGAAUGGAACGUGACCAUUAUCGGACCGUCGGAGACUUUGUACGAGGGGGGUUUCUUCAACGCCAUCAUGAGCUUCCCUCCGGAUUACCCCAACAGCCCUCCAACCGUUAGGUUCACCUCCGAGAUGUGGCAUCCGAACGUGUACCCUGAUGGGCGCGUGUGCAUCUCCAUUUUGCAUGCUCCCGGUGACGAUCCCAAUGGGUACGAGCUGGCGAGCGAGCGGUGGUCGCCCGUGCACACCGUGGAGACGAUAUUGAUCAGCAUCAUCGCCAUGCUUUCGAACCCGAAUGAUGAGUCGCCCGCGAAUGUCGAUGCCGCCAAGGAAUGGCGAGAGCAAAGGGACGAGUUCCAGCGCAAGGUGAGGAGGAUUGUGAGGCGGUCUCAGGAAUUCGCGUGAGGCAGUAACGACCCUGCAGUGGCUGCAAGAGGGACAUCCCCCCCACCCCCUCCUGAGCGAUCAGGUGUCGUGGCUUUGCUCCACCUUAGGCGUAGCUGUGGUAUGCACAGUGCUAUAACAGAAAUUUUCGAGGAAUGUGAGAAUGGGUGGGCGCUAAGUGGUAUGUUGUAGUGGAUUGAGAGAGUAGGGAUUCAACCCAUGUAAAGAUUACUAUGCACAGGAGGUCCUGGAGGUUGGCGGAGGAAAGCAAGAGAGCAUGGUUGUCGCACAGUGCAGGUCCGGGGUUGCGUUCUGAUAUGGGGCAAGGAGUUAUAAAGGGUGAAUAAACACAAUAUGAGUAGUCUUGCUCUCUGUCUGUUCCACACUCGCCUGUCAGCAUUUUCCAACCAUGUAUGCCAGCGCUGACAUGGCCAGUAUGUGCAAAUGCCUCGGGUUCUAAAUGCCUAUGUAUGGUACAACCUGACCUGUUGCCACAUAAAUGUUUCAAGGAUGCGUAUGUCAAGCAAUUUUACAGGAUAAUGCUGCCUCCGGUCUGUUGAGCGUUUUUGAUCGAUUACUGAGAUGCGCAGUGUGGUAAGACCAGCCGUCAUGAUUUUACAAAUUUGUAAAGGGACCUUUGUCCCAAAAUUUCCGUGCGAGAUUUGGAGAUUUUAGACAGGUGUGUAUGCCCUGCUGCUUGUGCUUUCAGCUACCAGUGAGUGUCUCGAUCGGGAUUUACGUGAAUAUCCUGACACGCAUAUUUAUCCUCUUGGGAUUUCUUUUAUUUGUGCGCUGUUUUCAUGCUGUCCUACCAGUGCUUCAGCAUUGGUCGCUCAUCAUUUAGCUUGGUCCACAGGAACGUUUGGCGUCCAUCAGACGCAGGUGACGAAUCUGGAAACCGUCCCAGGUUGUAGAAAAGCUAUGCCCACCUACUGAUACUUCCUGCACAUGAACGAGUCAGGCAUGUUGUGCCUGCUGUCACUACUCCUGGAGGCACAUUUUAACUCCCCCAUCUGUCAACAUUUACGUUAGUAACAUGCAAGACGCUUGAUAAAGCAGCAAGUAGUGCAGAAGUGCACUGCAAGUGUGUUCGGUCACAGAUCUCUGAUUCUCUGCUACGAUCAACAUAGUACUUGGACAAUGGUGGCCGCAACAAUGUAACAGGAGGCGGUUUCUUAAUGUCCGCCAAGGUCAUGCCUGGAUGUCUGGCAGACUUAAUGCACAACUGUCCAUUCAUUUAUCGAUGUUUUCGUGCUUACAGGUCAGAGAAAAGAUGGGAGAAAACUAUGACUAUAUCUUACACUAUGAAUUAUUCUCACAUAUGAUCACAAAAUUACGAACUACAAUCUCAAUGUAGCCUAGCUGCGACAGAUAGUAAAGUGGUGACAAAUAUGCAUUGUCAGUUAUCAGCCAUGGAAAAGCCCCACAUUAUGAUAAGUUGGAAUCUUUUUGUAAUUUCGAAUGCCAAGAGUAUCAAGAUAAUUCAUGUGGGGUGGUGCGACACAAGAGGUUGACAGUGCCGUAGGCUACACGAUGAGAAACAAUCCUCUUCUUGUUUGGAGAAAAUCCUCCAAACACAUUCGGUCUUACGCUAAAACCUUCGAAUUCAUAUCUCUAAUCGAAUUCACCGUCUUGUGUUAUGUGGACGCUCACUAUCGUAUAGCUAUUCUCACCUCAUUAUUACUGAAAGGUGUCACUGAGAAGGAAGAUAUUAAAAUCUGGUGUACUAAGGUGUAUAAAGAUUAGCUGCGUCACACGGAUCAUUCUAAAAAGACAACCACGUGGCUAAUCCCAUUCAAAUGUGUGCCCUAACUUCAACAAAGAGUUGGCGCAAUGCGUCGGAUUACACUUCAGAACAACUUGACCUUUUUUUACACGUACUAAACACAAGCUACUCGAAAUAUUACAAGCAUAAAUGCUUUCAAGCAUACAGAUUCAAACAAGUCCAUGUAUCUCAGUUUGAAUUGAAGGGUAUUGUGUCACAGGAAUCACUCUAGGGUUACAAGCUCAUCAUGCCAAUAACACCCUCUUUCAAUGAAGUUGCAACUAAUUGCUGACGACUCCAACAAAGAAGCCAAAACCAAAAUAAGAAUAAGAAUAGUCUGCAAACCACUUUGCUUCCGUCCCUGCAUCAAUUAUCAGCUUUAGUUUCUUCGAGAUCCAUGACUAGUUCUCUUCAGAAUCUCAUGUUUGAAUUAGGUUCAUCAAACAUAUUCACAAGGAACUGUGUCGCAGCCAUAUUUUGAAGAGUUUGAAUCAGUAAGAUGCCGCGGCCCACGUGAUCCCCAACAUAGUUGGAAUGUACUAACUGUCUGUGGAAAUAAUGCUGAUGGUCGUCAUCAGGUCCGUAAUCACCAGUGACGAUCCUUCAGACGCAGCUUUAACUUGUAAAUAUUUGACGACAGCCAAUUGGGGGUACACUAAAGUGUACAACAAAAUGCAGGUGAACUCAAAUAAAGCCGUUCAAGAACACUUCUGCUGGUGGUAAGAGAGACUCCGCAUUGAAGCAAAGCUUGGUGGAGAAACCCUUCCAUGCAAUGCUGCACAGUCCGUCCUCAGCAUUCCAAAAGCUAGCCUUUCAGAGAAAACGGAGACCUGAGAUCUUUGCAUCUGAAGCCGCUUCAGAUAUCAUUAAAUUUGUCAGUAAACUAUUUCAUCUGCAACUUUAAAUCGCUAAAGCAUGAAGUGUGACUCAACAACUUGAAUACUAGACUGUAUUUCAAAAUCCACCAAAUCUUCAUAGUAUAACAAUCAAUCUCAGAACCUCAAGCCAUGAAUAAUUAUAAACCCUGAUAAUAUCGAAUCAACAUUCUCACAUGCCGAAAUAGCUUCACUUAAAUUUGAACACCCCCCCCCCUUUCCAAUUCGUGGUUCUGCUUAGAUUAGACAACAAUUUCAUGAUGCCACGGACAUUAAUUUGGCAAACAAAGUCACUGAAUUGAAGCAAUUUAACUAGUAUGUGGUAAGAUGAGGCGCAGCCUAGUAGCCUCAAAUUCGCACAGUGGACGAUCACGGUGAUGCCAAGAAGUUGCAAUUCGUGGUUCUUUCUGAGAAGGACAGCGUUUUGAAGUUUGUUCAAUCCAGGUGCAGUAGAAAACAGGCAGUGCGAAGUGAAGUUUUAAAAUAUCCGGAGCUUUUGAUCGUUCAGUGUCUUGAGCAUUCACAUCGAAUGACGUCGACCAAGAAAUUAACAUUGGACGGUUAGGAGCCUAUUCCAGCUAAAGGGACAACCCACAGUCCUGCAGGCAUGUAAAAGACCAGGUUAACACCUUCGAGCAUCAUGAAUGAGAGCUUUCGAUGGGAAGUGGAAAGUAGCUCCGACGAUGGACCACGCAUUACAACCCUGACCGACGAAUAGUAGUGAUGGGACUAAGUUUAGAGCCAAGAACAUGAUCAAACCAUACCCCUGAAUCAAUUAACCAUGCGCAGACACAAAACGAAAGGGCAAACCUUCCCCACGAAGCCAUGGAGACAUGGCAAGGCAAACUGCAACUUCUCUUGAGAUGGAGACCAUAAAAUAACAAAGCUCAUCUGCGAGUGCUUCACUCAAAGAAUAAUUCAACGCUUGUAUCCCUUCUUGCAGCAGUUUGAGCCCUGCACAGCUCGAGAAACAAAGCUUCAACAAGUUUUUGUGUGGGAAAGAGAUAGAAUUGUCUCUGAGCAUGUGCUGGGUCAUACAUUUCUAGGAACGAAACCCACGCCACAUCUCACCAGAGUGUUUAUCGUUAUGAGCCAAAAAACUUCCUUUAGAUUACUUGUGAGGUUUGAAACAAGGAUUUACAGCCAAUGUGACCUGAAUGUACCGCUUCUCGUCCGCUUCAAGAGCAGGGCUCCUUCUUGUGAGCAACCCACCACAGCUCGAAGAGUUUCUCCAAAAAUCUCUCAACCUGGAAUCUACAUCAAAAAUCUGCUAAACUAAAUUCCCAUCAGAAUCAAACGGGCGUUACCUCUCCCACUCUUCGAAGCAUCCUAGCGCAGCAACAGAGAAUCCUCGCGGCAGACACUUCCAAGAACCCACAGAUUUUGGGCUUUCUUUCCUUCAUGUUGUAAGUGAGCUUGUCGAUUAACAGAGAGACUGAGAGGACCGUGAGAGGUCUCCGCUCUUACGGAGGUCUAUCGCGUCCAAUCUCUGGCAGCACAAAAAGCUUUCAAAUCACAUCAUCACCCAUCAGAAGUAUGAAUGCACCAGCAAAGCAAGUGGAAUACCACAUUGGGUGUGUGUCAGUAGGAGUUUCAGAAAGAGGUGAUGGUUUCAUGUUCUUAUGACGAUGAAAAGUGUUUUUCUACAGAGUGUCCGUGGCGUUUUUACAACCAACCUUCAGGGGGAGUCUGAGUAAGAGGAUGCAUUCUAAAAAAAAUUCACUAAGGAUUGAGGAUCCCAUAGGAGUGAGCCAACACAUGUCACCACAUAAUGUAAUUUGUUAGUGGGAUAGGGGAAAAUUGGUCCAUAUUUAGGAGGAAAGUUUAUGUGUGGGCAUCAAAUUGAGGGGAAAAGGUUGGGUAACAAGUUUGUUCAAAUUGAACAAAUUAAUGAUUUGGGAAUAUAGAAGAAGUUGAUGCCCCUUCUACCACUAGAGUGAAGUGUUUGUGGGAGAUUAAAUCAAAUGAACAUAAAAAAAUAAAAAUAAAACUUUUAAAAAUCAUGCUUUAUUUUCCUCUUAAUGCAACAAAAAAUAAUAAGUGUGCACCUUUUUUUAUUUCUAAUAUGAUUAUUGACAUCAACUGUGUCAUGCUAUUAUUUAUGUAUAAAUAAUAAUAACUGUUUUAACUAUAAACAUCAAUUUAACCUAAAAACAUUUCAGCACCCUAUAAUAUGUUGUGAAAAAUAGUUCUUUUGAUAAAUACAUAAAAUGACUAUAUCUAUUUUAUAGAUGAUCAUAUUAUAGUAUAUCCAAUAAAAUAUGUUGAAUGUGGUUUUUGUAUUAAUUUGCAAACAAAUUACAAUUUUUUUCUUCUUAUUAUUAAUAUGUGUAUACAUGUGUAAUUUUAUAUUUUUUUAUUCCAUAAUUUAUAAGAUUCAAGCUACUAAGUUUUGUGUCCUUUUUAUGGAAUGAAUUCAAUGAUUUCUAAUAAUUUGAAAAAUGUACAUUACAUCAAAUUUAUUUAUAGAAAAACAAGAAAAAUAUAUUUUUCAGAAAUACAAUAAUUCCUAUUGAAACAGCAGCUUAGAGAGGUGCUCUUCAUCUAGAUAACAUGAUCCCACCUUCACCCAACCACUUCCAGUCACAUGGUGACAUCCUCUUGCCAAAUCCAAUGACAAAUGAAAAGAUAAAAUGUAUAACAGGAAUUGUUGAAGGAUUUCCACAUCUUUUAAAAGAACGUUGUUGUGCUGCCAAGCCUCACCACAUACUGUAUCCACUAAAAACCAUGAGAUGGUCCAACAUCAACUCAUUUACCUUGAACUUAACAAAAUAAAAGUUUCACAUACGCUCAUUUCCUUGUGGCAACAUUCACAUCAAACCACUCCACUCAUAAGAAUACGGGAUGCACAUCGAAACUUAGCAGUGUGCUAAACUGAUUCAUGAAUGUAUUGAUUGCAACACAACUGAUGUAAUAAAUUACAAGGAAAAACUACCUUGUCUGCGCAAAUAAUCUGGCAUGCCACUAAACCAAGUGCUACCAUGAAUCCAAGACUUUUGGUGGACACAACGCACAGGUCUUCAGCGUUCUAAUGCUGAUAGGAUAUUGAAGCCACUGCUUCUCAAAAGCCGCCUAAAGUUCAGUGGCAAUGUUUCAAACAAAUCCCUCUACAGUGUAUACAGCAAAUAGUAACGAAAUAAAUCAAAUUCUCAAAUGAUCUUCAGAGGAAGCUCCUGGCUUGUGCGAUUGUAUGUCAUCCGGUAACCUUAGCCCCUGCAAGAAGAAACCACGUUGAAGGAAGAGUUGAGGUUACCAUACAAUUGAUAUGGAAAAAAAGUAUAUAACAACAAUAACAAUGAAUGAAAAAUCUUAACAGGAGAAUACCUUGGUUUCGACUGGAAAGAGCAACGUGGCUAUGCUUGCGAUCAAAGGAACCGUAGAAAAAAGAGUCACUGAAAGUAUCUGCAUCCAAACAAGCCCAUCAAGUCAGGGGUGCACAAAAUCUUGGAGAAUCCACUCAAAGAUGAAUAAAAAUAAAAAUAACGAAGAUUUAUGUUGCAUGAUUAUGGCAACUCUUCCUCGUCCGACUUCUGCCUCAAUAUUCAGCACAAAAAAGGAGAAGGUCAAGCCAAGUCAAGAAACCAACGAAGCAAAAGGCAUCAAAACAGCUGGUCAAGCUUACCCUGUGACCAUUUUUCAUCAUUUCUAUGGCAACGAAGGGGCACAAGAAACCACCGAUGCGACCGGCGGAGUUGCUGAAACCCAGGCCGGUAGAUCUCAGCUUAGUGGGGUAGAGCUCCGGAGCAUAAGCCCACAGAAUAGAAAAUGCACCCAUGAUACAGCUCCGAGCUCCAAACAUGAGUGUGGUGGUAGCCAUUUCCGAGAGAGGUUUCCAAAGAGGGGCUACAAAGAGGCCAGUUCCGAGGAGAAGAGCUCCCAUGCUGGCCUUCCGACCGUAACGUUCAACUGUCAGGCAAGCCAAUACCAGUCCUGGGAGCUCCGCCAAAGAGGUGAUUAGAACUGCUUUGUAGCUUGCAACGUCCGUUCCUGGCCUACCGUCUGUCAUACACCCAGCGUCCAUGGAGACAACCUCAUCGUGGGACUCGACGGGUAACUGGGUUGUCAGGAGCACCAGCCCAUAAUAGGUGAAAGCAUUGGCGAAAAAGAAUGUCCAUAAGAGGAUUGUUGUUAGCUUCAGUUCAGGAGAAAACAAUUGUUGAAUAAUGGACCAGGCUCCUUUGACUCCACCAUGAUUUGUGUCGCCACGAACCUCAUCAAGACUGUCACUCGGAGUAUUCACCUUCGAGGCCACCUUAUCUGAAUGAAUUGGACAUAUUAGGAACUAAAUCAAACCAACAAUAGAUGAAUAAAAACCUACCUGUAAAAUAAAACCAGGUCGAAACUAAAAUCUAUCAGUUACAUAAAAACCAAAAAAAAGGCGCACAUUUAAAGACUGGCCUCAUUUCAAUUAACGAUUGCGGCUCAAAUUAUAAGGAAUUUGAAGUGACGGCAGAAUGUCUUAAAAAAGACCUCGUCAAAAUUUGAGAUUGUACCAUUGUUAAUUUGAUGACAUGACUUAGCAAGUGAGAGGUUGCCAGUAGGCAAGGAUCUUCCAUUGAUAUAUGCGACCUGUCUUAAGACUUCCCGUGCUCCCUCUAUAUCCCCUUUGACCUGUUUACAGAGAUAAAUCACAACCAAUUAAAUAUCUAACAAAAGUUGAUGUUAAGAGUUAAGACUACCCCCCCUGCAAUCAGCUGCUAGACGCUAUUGGGGGAAGAGUUCAACUCUAUCAAACUGCAAAGAAAAGUAGUGUAGGCUUGUGAUAAGCGUACCAUCAAAUAUCGAGGAGACUCAGGAACCCAUGAGUAGAAAACAAGCAACAGCAGGAAUGGCAAGGCAGAAACUGCUACUAAUAUCCUGGAGAAAUUUUGCAGUUUUCAUCAACGUCAAGUCUUGCUUGUUGAGCAUUGUCAACAGAGCAUUACUGUUCUUUUUCAUAAAUUACAAAAGCAUAGGAAGUUUACAACAAUUAAGAUGUGCAUUGCUGUAGUGGUUAUAAUACAGAAAAUUAAUAAAUGCGAUCAUUUUACAGACCUCCAACUGUGAUUCGGUAAAAUAACCCAAGCCAAGAGGGCUGAUGAUACAGAGCCCACCUGAUACACAUCCAAAACAAUUCUUCAAAACGUUUCAAAACUAAGCUUGGGAAGAACCGCGAGAAAUUUUGAUGAUAAAUGUUGCUGGCUUGAUUAGCUAGAAAGAAGGUAGCCAAUAACAACUAGGCCUAAACUAGCAGGAAACGAAAUGACUAUCCAUAAAUUUGAAGACAACAUUUUCUAGCAUACUAGGUAAUGUACAUGUAUAAAAACAAGUAUAAGCAGUUAAAAGUUAACAAGCAAGCAAAUUAAAUUAGUCUUGUCACUUACCGUCCACAAGACAUUCAAGAAAACAAGCCAAAAACCUCUAGAGGAAGCUGGCAAAAACUCCAUACACAAGGAGAAGAUCACCUACAACAAAAAUUGCAUACAGAUUAGACCCACGAAUAUUCAGUUCCAAAAACAAAUCUCCAGAUCAAAAAUUCUAACUUACUCUUAAAUGUCGACACGAUAGUUUUAUAAGUUGCUUAAGGAUGUAAAAUGGACGUCAUUCAAAACACUUUAUUUUAAGACUUACUGAUGAGCCACCAAGUCCAAAACCAACGAGUGUCCGAGCAAGAAGAAGAAACCAAUAAGUUGGAGACCAAGCGCUGCAAUUAAGAAACCAUAUGUUCCAACAUUGAUCAGAUGUACAAGCUCACAAUUAUUCAGAGAACAACAAUCAACUAAAAGUUCACAUCAGGCUCGCAAGCUACCUUCAGAACCUAAUCUUGAGAAAGAUGGUAAGUGCGCUCCUAUUAUACUUACAAUGACACACCUUUGAAUAGAAAGACUUAGAAUAAGUAUAGAUGGAAAAAAAAUCCAAUAAAUCAAUAUCCACCUCCAUGACAAGAUGAACAUGUUUUCAUGGCAAACUUGCCUUAGUAACCCGAAGAAAAAAGUGAAAACAGCUGUAGCCAAAAAACCAACUCUGCGUCCUUUAAUGUCAGACACUAAUCCCCAUAUAUAAGCACCCCUGCGUAGCAACGAGCUUUAAAGUAUCAGUAACCAAGUUUAAAUACAGCUAGAAAGUUCACCUGAUAAUUCAUUGUAAAAGUAUCAAGCCUUGUCAUCAGUAAUACAAAAUGAAAUAGAAAAAGUAGGAAUAAGAUAUCUUGAAGCAGAGAUUGGCAAACAUUCCAAUAAAAGAAAAUCAUGAAGCAUACGAUAGGUAAUAGCAUUUACACAAAGAUUCCUACAAACACUGAACUCGAAAUGGCGCCUUCUUGGAAUGAAGGCAACCCCCAUUCGCACUUUGCCUGCAAUUAACAUUUCGCAUUCUCAGCAAAAUCCGAUAAGAAGCUACCACUUGAUCAAAAUUGUGCAACGCAAAAAUAAACCUCGAGUACAGACCGAUUGCUCAUUCCUAAGCAUUGGCAUAUAAACCUUAGAAAAUUCUUAGUAAAAACCAGUUUACCGCAGGACCGAUGAAAGACAACAGAAUCAUUUCUGAAGCGUCUGCCAGCCAAGCAAGGCCGGUGUAAGUCAGGAUUCCCAUCUGAAACUUGCCGAAUCCUGAACAAACAUUCCGACAAAUUUCAGAGUCAAAACCCGAAUAGGGAAGCUGCUUCUUAAGAAAAGCUUAAGCUCAGGAAGAAAUACAAUUAACGCACGUACAAGUACUAUAUCAAAAAUACCACGUCCCCCUGAAGCAAAAAAGUGCCAUUUGUAUAACCCAAAAGUUCGAGAAUGGAAGAAGGCAUAGAAAAUAAGUGAAAUACCAAUAGUCUCAAUGGUUUCUUCAACUGUAAUGUUGUCGUAAUUAGCAACUUCAUGGCUAACAGCAUCUGGCCCAGUAUACAAGUUCUGUGCCGAUGCCAACAAUUUCAAGGGUUGUCAUUCCAGAGUUGCUGCUUUUGAAAAACUUUGAUGCAUGCAGAAAACAGAUAAUACACCAACUUCACACAUAACCUCAUCUGAGCAAGUAUCAAACAUUCUGAGUGGCUAACUUCGGUCCCUUCCGAACUACUGCUCAGAACUCUAGAAUGCAAGCUCCUGAGCAUGAUACUAUCUUAAAAAUUGGUAGACGAAUCAUCCUAAACCAAAGCCAAAUCUAGUUGGAGCACAACUUUCGAGAUAUUCGAGCCCUCCAGAAUGGAAUGUAUGGUUGUGAUCUGGCAGUGGCGAAAAACAACGCCUGGUGAUAGGGUUCUUAUAACAUAGCAAUCGAAAUUCAAGCACACCAAAAGCACGUAGAAGAUACCAGCAGACGCAAAGUCUCGGAAAUUGGUUGGUUCGGAUCGACACGAUCGGUUAUCACACCGAGCUCCAUAUUUAAUACCGAGGACCACUCUUGAAGCCAGGAUCAAUGUUUCGGUGUGGCAACUAAUUUACUGCAGAUCUUGUCAAAACCUUUUGCUGCAUUCCCGAACUUGUUACUCAUCCCCUCGUAAUUUGCAUAAAGGAGAAGCGCUGUCAUUUAAAAAUAGUCGCCACGUCCUGAUAAAUUCCACCAAAAACAAUCUAGGUCUAAGUCGGAGGUGGAACUCGAGCAAUCUCGAAAGAGCACUGGAAUGAACUCAAAGGACUCCUGAUAGUUACUGUAAGCAAAGAGAAAAAAAAAUGAAUUUUGUGCAUCAUGAACAUCAGAAGCCAUUGCAACUCUUACACAUAAGCCACAGAAUGUAAGUAAAUGACACUUGAUCCACAUUUUCAAGAGAAACAAAAGCAUACGGACAAAUACAAGAGAUCGGGAAUGCGACUGCUAUUUUUCGAUCUCGCCUCACGUUAUGUGAAACCCAAACAAUGCUAAAGGUUUGGAUUUCAGUUGCUUUCAUUUUUUACAGAAAAUUGAGUCUCGAGGAACAAAAGCGUAUAGACAAUCUAAUCCAACAACGACUCAAAAUACCACGCACUCGAGGGGCCCACAAAAGGAUUGCUCGCUUGCUAGAUAUCCCUCAUGACAACCACCGGCGUUCUAAUCAGUAAUACCAAUCUUUCUCUUUCACCCACAUACUCGGCCGUCGAGCCAGCGCACCCAACAACUAACUCAAGCUAAUUCGUGCGCAUAGGACGAUCUCUGAAACUCCCAGAAGAGGAUCUCUGAAACACCUUCACACCUGGAUUCCUACACACUAGAUCCAGCAAACUUGUCUGUCUCCUGAGACGAAAAGAUUGUCUUCGUCAGUCCAAACCCUACUCAAUAAUAGUCUGAAGAACAGUCCAAGGUUUGCGUGGUUCCACUGAAAUCAGAUCUAAUUUGGCAUUCCUCAGAUAUCAAAGCAUGUGCUCCCAACGUUAUUGUCACAAGGCACAUGUAUCGUAAAAGCUUGCAGAUCUAAUGUCAAAGAGCGACAGUGGCAGUAUUGCAAUCUUACAGGGGCUCGGUUGAGAGGAGAAAAAAACAUGUUGCGGUGAAGAGCAUGGCAACUUUUUCUCUCUUCUUAGUCUUUUUCUAUUCUAAUAAUUCAGAUAUUUGGACUUUCUAAGAACCUGGCUUGUACUCGUGUCCAUGACGGGGCUAUAGUCGACGGAAACGACCUAGGUUUGCAAUGAGCAGUGGAUGGGGGACUUGGGUGGAUGAGUUGGCAUGUCGGGGUGUGUUGUUGCCUAAUGUAGAGUAAUCCCGAAUCACGCUCAUCUUGAGAAAGUGUUGUUAAACUGUAUCGAACAUGCAAGUGUAGGUCUGGUUGCUGUAUGGCCAGCUUUUGAAGAGGCAGGGACCUAAUUGCAAAGAGGAGUGAGUGGAUGAGAGAUGCAUGGAGCGAGUAGAGUUGUUGGCAUCGUCAAUUAAUCUAAGUGGGGGAAGUUCCCGUUAUUGAGAUGGGGCAAGCUCUGCAGAAAUUGCGAGGAGGUUCGGGAGGAGGAGCAGCAGCAGCGUUGCGAAGAGCGCCUCCUCCCCAGCAUCAUGCCAACAACACCAACAUCGACACCGCUGUUCGCCCGCCGCCAUCGCAACCUCCACAGCCUGUGCCCCGCCAGUCCGUCGAAGUGCGACCACAGGCUCCAGAGCCGCGUGAGUGGACGAACUUUUGGUUGAUUCCGAUGUAGAAUCGGAAGCUCGCAUCUGGGUAUUGUGGAUUUCUUUCAAUUUUGCAACGGAAGCCGACUUUUCAAUUUAGAGAUUCGCUGAGUUAAGGUCACUACACGUUACGUGGCUGUACCCCUGUGGUUGAUUGUGAGUUGUCUAACGUUGUUGAAUGUGAGAAUGAAUCAGAGCCCAUUAUUGAACCAGGAAUGCCAAUUCCGGGGGAGUGGAAUCGCGGAGAUCCCAGGUACUCAGCGAUGGUGCAGCAGGUGGUGGGAAAAAUUAGCACACGGCCUGGUGGAACUCAAGAGAUGGGCAAUGUAAGUGGAUUAAGUGCAACGUUUCUGUUCCAUCUUUGUGAUUGUCUAACUGCACAGUGGCGACGCAGAAAUUCAAUUUUCAAACAGUGUUGUCUUGGAACAAUACAAAAUUUCUCGCCGACUCGCUAGUUGGUAAACUGUAUCAAGAUCUCUGUUCUUAGAAAUAUCUUGUGUUAAUAGGUAACUUCAACAAUGGCUUGUUGAAAGAAGAUGAAUCCAACACGUCCACUCGAUUGCUUUCCACAUUUUUAUCUGGUGAAGGGUUUAGGGUUCUACCCCACCAGAUGUGACCGAGUCUUCCUUUUAUUUAAAAAUUCAACAAUGGAUAUUCCAGUCAUUUGUGGAGCUUAUAGGUUAGAAAUGCUUAGAAAUUAAAUUCUGACAUUCCUCUGACUCUAUUAGCUCGCAGAGAAGUUUGUGAUUGAGCGACAGUGAACUUGGGCAUUCGUUGGGGAUUGUGGUGGGUUGUGAUAGCUAGGAAUUCACAGCUGACCAUAGUAGUGAUGUACCUCCGUGAAUUGAAAGUAGUUUACUCUUCGAGAAUGCGUGCUUGUCUUCGAAGCCUUCCAGUCGCACGGGCGGAUUCAAACUUGUUCGAUUUGCGUGGGCAGGCUCAGGUGACCGCAGAAUUUCGCCGACCAAGGCCUUCCAAUCGGCGCACUUCAGCUGCCACCGGUCCAGACGAGGAGAAAGUGGUAGCUGCGGGCACUCUCAACAUUGCAGGAAUUCAGGAAGCUCUAAGGCUUUUCCAGGGUAUUCGUGCCGAAGGUGAAAAGGUGCAAGAGAAGCCGAUGGACGUGAAAUCACUUGCAGAGAAAUUUAAUGUGAAUGUGGUGUUGCUGGAAAGGGUGUUGAAGUAUACCUCUUUGCCAGAACCCUCUCGAAAGCAGAAAUUUCGUAAUUAAUAGGUUGUCUUCCCUACACAUUCAAAAGCGCUGACUUUCUGUAUUGAAAGUGCCUAUUCAUUGUAGUUGUAUGAUGUUUUGUCCUCAGACACUUUUUCUGACAGUGAGUGAAUAUCAUCCUAUCAGAGUGCAAUUUCUUAAGCCAAGUUUGGAGACUGGAAGCAACAGAAAAUUUUACUUGCAUGGAUGAAUUUCUGAAUCCUUUUCCUACUGUAUACAUGUUAUUGCGGCAGAACUGUGAUUCAGCGGUCUCGCCACCUUUCUGGAAUGUGAUUAGUUGGUAUGCGAAUAAAUUUGCUGUCAGUAAUGUGAUCUGUAAAAGGAAGUAAAAUUAAGUUGGAGGAAAGAGAGCCAAACAUAUGGUAACGAUAAGUUGACCUUAAAGUCUACUUCCAUCAAACCGAAGGCUGCUGACAGCUCUGUAAAAUUUGCUUCAAAAAGACGCACAAACUGGAUAGUAAAGUCCUGUACUCAAACAACAUACCUUAAUUGCUGUUAGAUGACGUCAUUUGAAACAGCCGACAUCCUGCAGUUCGCCUAGAGAAAGCGACGGGUUUUAAUAUCUUCAACUAUUCAAGUGGUCCGACUGUUGAUCCUGAAGCGGAUGGCUUUCAAAAUGUUUGCAGGUUAUCAAAUCUAAGCUAGAGACGAAUCUCCUCAAAACAAGGCUGAAAAUGCGCAUCACUAAGCAAAGAGUAGCAAUUGGAAAAGAUUCUCAUAAUUAGUCCACACGAGUAAACAGUACUAUCAAUCAGACUUGGUAUUGGGAAACCGGCGAAUCCGAACAAGCUUGCCCUGUUGGAAAAGAGGGCAAAGCGAGUGCUGAUGCACAAUAACGCCAAGGAUACCCACAGUGGCAGCGAAGAAUAUAAGGCUUGCUGUCCAUAGCUGGAAAAACACAUUAUAUCCUCUGAAUUCUAAAAGGUAAGCCCAGCCUAACCAAUGCACCUGAGCAGCUGUCCAAACACCCAUACACAGAGCUCCUUUCUUCCAACUCAAUCUACUGGCUGGAAUGAUGACAGGGAGCAGGCAAAAGAACCACACGAAAUACUGUGCAGUGAUCACCUGAAAGAGACACCAAGGAGAAAGAUUUAGUAAAGAUCGCGAAUAUUGCCACUGGUGUUUCCAGAGAGACAAGGAGAAUGCGAUUAAAUUUUGUUAAAUCCUAAAACCAAAUGACAGUAGAUUCAGAAACCAUAGACUAAUGCAUGUUUCAAUACAUGGCGAGCCAAACUCCUAAAUUCUUAGAUAAAUCAUGAAAAUAUCCUGCAAUUCAAAGAAACGAUUGAUCUCAACAAGCAACUAGAGGAAUAAGAUUGGGCCUGGACCUUGUUGAAAGCGACGAAAGCCACUGUUUGAGCGAAGAAGCAGAAAGGCAGAUCCUUCGCAAAGUAGUUUGCAAUUACUGAUUGAACACCCAUUUGAGGAACGAAUGCCAACACACGUUCCAGCAGUGUAAACCCGAGAGAAUGAUGGAGAUACACAUAAUAGAAAUAUAUGGAAAAAUUAUGUCGCGGAUCGGUACGCAUGAAGUGGUACAAUAAAGCCUCUUGCAGAAACUCCAUGCCGUAGAAGCAAUAGCAGAUUCCCGUCAGUGCAAAGAACGUUCCUCCAGAAACAAGACCAAACGUGAGUCUCUCGGGGUUCAACCAUCCCAUUAAACCUUCCGAAUCCAGCUUGUAUUUUGAAAUGCGGGCAGCCACCGAAGGAUAGUCUUCAUCAAGAAAGAAGAUGAUGGGAAGGGCGUAUAUGACUGGAUAGAUGCGGAAGUGAACCACCACUCCAAACCAGAUUGCGGCCUGAGCCAGCCGCCCUAACAACGAAAACACCGCAACAAGGGCUUACCAAUAAAUCAACAGAAGGCUUUACGCAAUGCCCUCCAAAUCUGAUAAAAUCGAUCAAAUAAUCUGCCUUGCAGGAGUUGAACAUACCAGUCAUGAGGCAUUUGAGAAUCCAUAGAAUAACGACACAAACGAGUGCCUCGCAGUUCCCUCGUGUCGCCACAGCAAACGUAAAUGGGUUAAAGAACCACAAUGCGGCGCAGACGACUUGCACAUUGUCAGCCACGCCCCGCAGCCUGAGCACUUGACUAAUCAGAAUACCCACCAGCAGAUCUGCAACACACAGCAGAGCACCAUAACCAUUCAGCUCUGCCAUGAAUACAUAUAGUUUCCCCACAAAUUUAACCUACCAACCUGCCACAUCUCACAUGAUUAACGCAUCUUAGCUCAUCAGCACGCAAUCUUCAGCCCCCCAUCCUCAAUUGAUUUGAUUAAAGACACCAAGCACAACACUGAGGCACAGGAAUGAGAUGAAAGCGUACCAGCGGCUGCGAAGAGCACUUUGCCCCAGCAUCGAUGAAGCACGAUGUUAGGAACGAGUAUGAGUGCCAACAGCGGCGAGUAGCGGUAUGUGUCGCGAUCGAAUGGCGACUUCCCUUCUACUAUCAGCCUUGAGGCAUCCGAAAACACUGUGUAAUCAAUGUCGGUGUAGGGCACCUCCAUGUGUGCAUCCUGCCAGUCUCCAUAUACGAUCAACCCCACUCGUAGUAUUGCCGCAGCAAAAACUAGCGCUCGUCCUGCACUAUCGCUUUCCCACCCCCAUAAUCGCCCCAUCCUCGGAGCUCCGUCCCUCGCUUCUCAAAUGCACCAAGAGCAAGCUAGAAAUUCAUGCGUAGCUGAUGACGAUCUAGAACGACGGGGAAAAAAAACCUCAUAAGCGGAACAACUCGCUCUUAUUACAUCAUAAUAACUAGUGUCAGAUCUAUUUAUCGUAGGCAUUGCCGUCUCGUGUUAGUCUUCACUUCUGUGUUACAAAUAAUUUCCUCCUUGGGGUCUCGGUGCAUCUGUGAAAAAUCGGCGACAUUCAGAAGUGUGUCAUUACUGCCUCAACAAUUGCUAGAAUAACUGUGCCGCGAGGGACAUAGCUCGGGUGGCAAUCUUAGUUGCACUAUCAAUUCCUGAUCAUAUUCACCAAAACUUCCGCAUUGCAAGUAGUGUACGAUAAAAGGGGAGAUGCGACGAACGGUCAGGACAGUAACCCUAGAUCACUGAUUAUCCCGCUUCAAAAGAUCGAACCAUCUUCAUGGAAUCUGAUCUGCCAAUUCUAUAAUCGUUAAGGCUGAGUUGGGAAUCCACAGAACUCUGAAAUACGCAGCAUACUCUCCUGGAACUCUUGAUGUCUUUAGAUAAUGGAAAUUAAUUAGGUUGAGGCGGUUGAGAGUAGUACCCACCCACCAUCGUCUAAUGCGCACAAGGCCUACGCACCACGACACUACUUUCCGGGUUAAGUAGUUGAGGAAGAUUGAUAAUGAAAGCCUCUUAUAAUUGUUGACAACACCUACAUCAUUGGGCCAUUCGGUCUUCUCUGUUGAGCAUACUCGACAUACAUUGAGCAAGCUCACUGAAAUACAUUGCAUUGCAUGGAUUCAAGAUAUUACAGUGCAUUUAAGCUAAAUCUUCACGCAGUUAUAAGUUAUGUGGCGUCUACAGAAAUCGAGUAUGCAUCUUUGAAGAUUGUCUCCAAAGUCAAGUGCCAAGUGCAACCAAAGGUUGGCAUCGAAAUUGCACCCGAAGCAGGCGAUACAGUCGGAUAAUGAAGUCCAGCAGCCGGCUGCAAAUCGAAUUGAGAUGCUAAAUGCAAGUUAUUCGGACGUUGAUUAAGCUAUCUUCUAAAAGAUAUUUGAACAAAGCUGUCAUGGGUAAACAAGCAUUUGCAUUGAAUUGCUUCAACUGUCCUCAAAAAUCCAAGAACAGACGAAUCAAAACAACAAAACCUGCAUACGUAAUCUCCACACAAAUAAAUUAGAAAACUUCUUGUGAUCAUGCCGAUUAAACUUUACUUCCUUCUGACAAAGCCAGAAAUUUGUGAUUCAAGAUGAAACUCGCAAGCCGCAACCUUCACAUAUAGACCCUGAAGAGAUUGCUGAAGUGUUUCGAGACGGUGGUUCUACUCCUUCAACUUCACCUUACCUCUUAGUUUGCUUAUUCGACGGAUUUGCUGCUCGAAGUUAUGAUCUUCAAAACCUUGCGACAUUUUCGGUUUUCUGCAUUUUGUGUAGUUUCAUUGGAAGAAAACCCCCUGCGUCUCUUCAAAGAAUCUGAUCAGUCAGUUCCCUGUGAGGGAGAGAAACAAGUGCGUCACUGACAGGCUUACUUGAGCCUACUGUGGAAAUUUCGACCACUGUCGCUAUUAAUGCCCCAGCUUUGAAAUCUGCCGCUUUAACAUAACGAUCAAAAAACUCUCCCGAGGGCUACUUGCUUCUAAUGAGCAUGCUCUAGAAUCAGAGUCAGGUACAUAGAAUUUCACUAGCACCACCCGGCUCCUCUUGUGGAUCUUCACUUGUGUCAUCAAAUAAGAUGUAAGACAGCAGAUGCAUCUGCAGUCUGACAUUGAGCCAUUCUUUUGAAAAGCUCUCGAAGAGUUUCCGGCCAGAUCAUACCUAACCAAUCCCACGCGUCUCGAUUGCCCGAAGGAUGCGUUCCUAAUGUACCUCCACGUACCAAACUAGACAUACAAGGGGUCCAGAGUUUGAAUCCCAAGUGUCUGCGUCAUCUGUCUUAUUCUUAUCAGAGUUGGCAUCCGCGAGAAGAAAUGGCUGAAAGACAAGAUUCCAACCUGCGCGAAUCCUAAGACCCCACGCUUCCAUUCCAAAUGUACCAUCUGAAAAUGAAUGGAGGUCUUACAAAAAUCUCAAAUAUGCACUGUUUGAUGACGCAUAGUGGGACCAAAGUGAACCAGGUCCCACGCAAUUCUCUUGUAAUGCCUGCAUGCUAGCAGAAUUGCUGGGGUCAGAAGCUGCUCAAAAAUUAAGUCUACUGAAACCAGAGUAUGUUAAGAACUUAACACGGUCCCAUUUCAUCUUUCUAGAUAAAAAAACAACACUAUGUAAGUUGGACAUCUUGACAUUGCACGUGGCCUACAUGUACACACCAAAUUCAAAACAAAAUUGUGAUGUUGAAAAUUUUCGAAUCAUUACAAACUGGAUACAACCCGUGUUAAAUGUGCGACAAUAUAAAGUACUGAAACUAAACCACAACGAAAGAGUCAGGUAAAUCAAAUCUACGUUAAACACUAGACCACUACAACAUACCACGUCAUGUGACAAAACACAAUGUAGAAACUAGAUAAAUCACGACUUCCACCUCUAUCAACUCCAUCUUGUACAGGUUAAAACUUAGAUGAAACUACAAUGAUACACAUCAAUCAGUAUCACAGCGUUCAGUCUAUGAACACGUAAAGCUGAAAAAGAUUAAUCACAACUUCCGACACAAAAUCUAAAGACAUGCCAAAGUUGCUUCAACAUCUGCAACUUGCAUCCAUAAGAAUAUCCAUCACUCUUCUCCCGUGAUGAAUUUUUGGAUGUAUUAUGUUCGGUGAAAUAACUAGUCAAUUUAGGGAUCAACAGAUGGCAGCAUGAUUAGAUGUAUUGGUGUACAGGCUCUCUAAAUUCACUUCAGUUAAGGAUGGCAUCAACAGCUAAGUCAUCAGACCGGUAGAAAAAAAUUCUCUUCACUCUAGGCAGCAAAGUCCACCGAGCGUUCGCGAUCAAUGAGCGACACCGCAUUCUCACAAAACAAUUCAAUGAUGAAAUUUUUUAAAGUUAUAAUUAAAAACUCGACCACGUUCGUUUGAAUGAGUAACGAAAAUCCUUUGGUUUGGGGUUUAAGAUUCCAACACCGUUACCCUCUCACACCUGCGAAACUCCAACUUUGAUCCCAGUUCCGACUUCUCAACAUUCUUAUGCAGUACAAAGUUGUCACUAACAGCUAGCUUCGCAAAUUUAAUGAAUAUACUUUUCAACAAUUACAUCGUUAUUUCGAACGUGAAAAGAACGUAACAUGAACACAUCAACGAAAUGAUCACCUUCCAGGAAGAUCCUGAUCAAGCCAAGUUUCCGUCAACUGAAGUACCUCGCAUGCCAGACAUGGAUGACCAGUGUGUACGCUCCACCCUGAAGCAACCACCUCAUCCUUCCAACUCGACGCUCCUCCAAAUACUACAACAAGCCGCCUUCGUAGUAUCCACAAUUUCCUCGUUCCCGAUUCUCGGUCCCUGACAAUUGAUCGCCAUCACUUGCCGCUACUAAUCCACAACCCUCAGGUUCGUCGUCUUUCAAUUUCAUUGUUAGAAGAAUAAACUUACACAGACUGUGGCAUGUCGGCCAAGCCCUCAUUCCAAAGUUGUGAUCCUCCUUCAAGACUGCGUCCACAGAUUGCCCUUUCACCCCUCGAGCACUGAAAAACUGCUGCACUCCCAUCUCUUCACCUUCCCAUAAACAAUGAGCUGAAUAAGUACGGUCUAUGCCGCUUCAUACUUGUGCGCAUCAUCGAAAAUCCUCGAUCAACCAAAAGGGAAACGGGUCUCUCAACCGAUUGUUCGAGGCGACAUCCUGAACCGAUCUUUCGUAGGAAUAGAAGCCAACGAGAUGGAGAAGUAGCAUCAGAAUUCACGCUCUCCGGGCACUCGUAUAUGCAUCCAGUGACCUCGAGACGCCAGAAUAGCAAUUGUUAACACCCAUGCGCUAUAUUUGUGCUCGAUACAAAAGAACCCCUAUUGCACAAGCCAAAAGCUAGCCUACAAAUAGAGACUCACAAUGCAGAGGAAUUCUCACCGUGAAUCCCUAACCAGAACGUCACCUUCCCGUGAAACCCUAAUCAACACAUUAGCUGCCCGGGAAACCCAUAUUCCUUAUUCCCAUUUUGAUUUCCAUCCAUCUCUGCAAUGUUGUGGAUAUUCUUCCUUGUUCAAUUGUUUCCUCUAUCUAUCUCUUCACGAGUUGGAGAUAUCUGAAGGUUGAUAUCAAAUGUUGGUACUGAAAACCAAGCAUUAAGAAUAAGGAAACAAGUAUAAUAAAAUAAAACAACAGCUUCUAUAUCCAUUUGAAAGUUGAUGGAAAAAUGAAUCAUAUUUGUUUGUUAACUGAAAAAAUUGUGUGAUAUUAGGUUUUCUUUAUUGUCCUUACACACAUCUGUAAAAGUUCUUAGUUUCAUAACAGUUUGUGAAAUCUUGAUUGGUUCGUUGUAUCAAAUGGUUCACACAUCUAUAUUUGUUUGGAACUAAAAUAAUGAAUACAGCAUACAAUUUUGAACCAAAUCUUGAAUAUAUAUAUAUAUAUACACACACAAAAUUUGAUGUAUCUGUAUUGAAAGUAAGAAUUAAAUAGUUCAUAAAUAAAAAAAUUAUCAAAACAUCCAAAACUCAAGAUAUAAUAGACAAUAAUUUCUAAAAUUAGAAUAAAGCAUUAGCUUUUAUAUAGCGUAAAGUGUGGCACUAGAAAAAAGUCAUGUUUUAAAAAAACUUUUCAUGCUAAUUUAUAAUUUCAAAAUAUAUGAAUUAAUUUUUGUAAAAUAAUAUAAUUUAAAUUAUAUAUAUAUAUAUAUAUAUAUAUAUAUUUCUAUUCAUAGACAUCCAAUAAUGGCUCAAGCUACAAGUAUAUCGUAAGUUGCUAUAUAAACACCUCAUAUUGUUAUAUGCACACCUAAAAAAACGUGAAAGCUUAUAAUUAGCUAGAUGUUUUAAUGUGGAGCUUGCCACCUGAUACAAUUGCAAGGGAGGUUAUAAUGGGCAAUAGCCCUUCCAUUUGGUGAUCCUAUUAAUCAAUCACCAAGCAAGAUCAAGGAAUUGCAAGAGCCUUUAGAGGCAAAGCUCCUCAAAGAAAAUUUGAAAACUACACCUUGUAUUGGAUGUUUAUCACCAAUUUUUACUGCACUACACCUUUUACUCAUUAUGUGUAUUUAUAACUAUAGUAUAAUCCACUUGUUGGUGAAAAGCUUUGUAUUAAUUUCUUAUUGACUUCUUGAAUCAUUAACAUUAUCAACUUCGAGUACAAACCUUAUAUAUAUAUAUACAUAUAUAUAUAUAUAUAUAUAAACAAAUAGUUUAGUUCUUAUAGAUAUACAUGUAACUAUUAAAUAGUUUACUAUUAAAUCCACAUUUAGAUAUUGAAUCACUAAACCCAUCUCAUGUUUACACUUUUUAAUAUGAUUGAGUUUUCUAUACUAGAAAAAAGUGGAUUUUCUACUACAUUGUUGUUCUACUCAAUUACUUAAAUUCCACCUUUGACAUGUUAGAAGAAUAGUAACUAUCACUUAUAAGACAAUGGAUAAUGAACAAGAAUUAUUGUUGAUGAACAUAUUAUUAAUGCUUACUGCAAUAAACAAAAAAAUAGAAUGAGAUUCACAAACAAAUAAUGUAUCAAAAAUUGGAUAGUUCUAAAGUUGUCAAUGAAAUAUUCAAUGCUUGAGAUUCUUGAGAUUCUUCCACACAGUUUGGUUGUGGCAAGCACUAUUUGCAGUAGUUGUUAGUUAGUUGGGCUUUACUCAAGGUCCAAGUAUUAAUCCUCAAAGACUAUGAAUAUGUGCUUGAAAUUGUUUAUUGAAAUCACUAUAAGAAUUGACAUAAUAUUGUAGAUCACUAAAGUGAAUAUAAAGCAAUAAUUCUUUCUUGGUGAAGUUGUCCAUGAUGAAGAGAUCUUUGGUUCUAUAAGGUAAUGCCAGUACAAGAUGUAGAUUUUGAAUUUUUUUUCUACGAGCUCUAUCCUUAAAUGCCUCUACAUCUCCUUGACUCUAUCUGCUAAUUAGUUAACAAGACCACUAAAGGGAGAGGGUUGCCACCUUCAUUAAUCUCCUGCAAUUGUCUAAGGUGACAAGGUCUAUAUAAAAAUACUUAGGCAAUUACAAGCCUUCACAAAUUUUGUGUACAUUCUUCUAUAUUUUUAGAAUAGAUUAAAAUACUAUCUAGAUAAUAAACAAUAAAAGCAUUAUAAAACUUUUAAAAAUCAAUAAUUAUUAAAAUAUUAAAAAAUAAUUGGUAUAUUUGUGGCUUCAAAUAGUAUGAAUUAUAUUCAAAAUAUCUAUACUUGAUUUAAAAAAAAAGGCUUCUAUUAUCAAGGAUAUACAUAGAUACACUAGUAAAUACUUAUAUGAUUAGGUAGAAAUAAGUAAAAAUAGAUAAAAGUAAGUUUUUUUCAUAAUACCUUUUAGAGAAGCUUUCUAAAAGCUUCAUAGAUGUUUUUUUUUUCUUUAUAUGUAUUUAUAAUUGAUUGGUAGGUUAGAAACUUGAUCAACAAGUUAAUCAUGUGUUAAUAGCUUGUGAAACAAGCUAACAAUAUGGCACACAUAUAGAAAACUUGUCUUGCAAGUUAAGAUACAUAUCUUACUAAGUCAACAUGUUUUAGAGGUACUAGAGAACAUUUCUACAUAGCUCUUAAAUAAAAGUACAUAUGGAGGUAAGAGUGAAGCUUUCUUCACUCUUGUUAAUACCUUUUUAGUGCUAAGUCUUGUUUCAAGACUUUUUCGUUUCUUUGUUUUUGGCAAUAACCAUUCUAGUUCAAUAGUGUAUCAUCUUUGAAUGACUUUUUACUUCUUUUUAGUGAUACAAGAGUAUACUAAGGAUUUCUUUUUCUGAGAUUCAUGUCCUUCAUAGUUUGACAAGACUGCUAACUUAUUAUUUUUGUCUUAUUUUAAAAAUGAGUAGAUUAUUUUACUUCUAUUGUUGUGUUUUAAAGGUUACAAACUAUCCAAUUUUUUAAAAUAUAUAUAUAUAUAUAUAUAUAUAUAUAUAUAUAUAUAUAUAUAUAUUAAUAUUGAUAUUUUUUAUAAAGAGAGUAGAUUACCACUCUUUAUGGAAAUUUUCAUUUGGUAUUAGAUAUUGUAGACAUUGCCUUCCUCUAAUUUAACUAUUUGAAUUUAUUUGAAUUAUCUAUAGAAGGAAAGAUUAUGGAUGCUACUCUCAACAAAAGUGAGAAUAAAUUUGUAACUAUUUUAAAUCUUUAAGAGCUUAUUAAUAUUCUAAAAAUAGAAAUUUUAUGUAUUUUUAAUGUGAAUAAUAGAGGUACUAUGCCUAUGCCUAUCGAAGAAGUUUAAAAUCUGUGUCAAAAAAUUAUGUAGUUAAAAGAAGCAAGUAGAUUAACCUCACAAUCAAAUUUGGAAAACUUUGUUCUAAAAGUAUGAUGGAGACAAGUUUCACCAUGCUUGAGAAGUUUGAUGGAAUAAGAUCAAAACUUUGAGGAUUUCUACAACAAGUCAAGUUCAAUGUAAGUUUGCAUCCCUUUCAAAAUUUUGAUGGAUUUACUCAAGUUAGAUUUAUAAGCGCAUUUUUAUCACAAAAUGCACUCUUUUAAUUUUCACCUUUAAUGAGAAAAGAUUUGUGACUCCUUUAUGAUUUUAAAUAACUCCUAAAAGUGUUUACUACUACACUUAGAAAAAGUGAGGAGAAAAGAGUAGUAGAGAUUAAGCUCUUAUCUUUACAAUAAAGAUCAUAGUCAACCAUCAUAUAUAUUGUUGAAUUCCAAAAUUUUGCUUAUGACAUGGAUUAGAAUGUCAAUGUCUUUAUCAAUCAAUUUUAAUAUAGGUUGAAGGAUAAUAUCAAAGAUUUAUUAUAAACAAUGUCAAAAGCAAAAUCUUUAAAAAUAUUUAUUGCUCAAGCCAUUACAAGCGACAAUGAAUUAUUUGAAAGAUGUCAAGAACAAAGGCUUGGUUAGAGAAGAACAAGUCAAAUAAUUACAACAGCCUUCAAGUUUUCAAGGCCAAAACCAAUGCAAAUUGAUAUAGUAUGUUUCAAAUCCUUCAUGAAGUAAGAAAAGACUCGACGGCAUCAAGAGAGUUUAUGCUUAUAUUUUAGAGAAGCUAAAUACAUUGUUCAACAUUAUCCAAAAAAAAAUGCAACCACAAAUUAAAAAGCAUAAUUGCUAAAGAAGACAAUGUGUCUAAAUAAGAAAUUUUUCUAAUUACAAUAGAAAUUGUGCAACUGAAAUCUUACAUAACUUUAAGUAAAGGUCAUAUUUUCUUGUCAAACUUUUUAUCUUAUUUUACAAUAGAAAUUUAUUUAGGGAAAAAACAUCACAAAGCUUAUCUUAGCUUUGUUAGAUUUAAGAGUCUUAGUCUAUUUUAUAGACAAAGAUUAUUUCAAAAAAUAAGAAAUAUCAUUAGUCAAUAAAAUUAAAUCCGUACAUAUAGAAGUCAAAGAUCGUAGAUUGUUAUCUUUUAGAGAUGUUAUGCAUGAGAUUGUUCUUUUAGAUGUAGUAAUUAAAGCUCAUAAUAGUAUAGUAAUAUUUUAUGUAAUAAGAUUUCUAUCUAAUCCAAUUAUUUUAAGAUUAUCCAGAUUGGAAAAAUAUAAUCCUUAGAUAGAUUAAAUUUUUUGUAACCAUAAUUUUUUUAGUAGUUUAAUCCAAAAUCUUAUUAGUCAUAUAGAAAUACAUAAGUCUAAUACAUCUAAGUCUUUAUAUGAGCUUUCAUGCAUGCCACAAUAGAAGGGUCAUCUUUUGCUAUAUAUGCUAUGCCUAUUUUAUGUGGUGGAAAGACAUCAAGUAGUAUUCUUAGCUAGUAUUUAGAUUUUUUAAGAUAUUUAAAAUAUAUAUAUAUAUAUAUAUAUAUAUAUUCUUCUAAAGCAUCAUCCUUAUAAUUGUUCCCUUGAUCUUCAUCAAAAAACUCAACCACCAUUUGGAUCAAUCUAUAGACUAUUACAAAAUGAAUUAAUUAUAUUUAAAGAGUACAUUGAUGAAAACUUGGUUGAAAAUUUUAUAUGUCAUUCUAAAUCUCUAGCUAGGGCUCCUAUCUUAUUUGUAAAGAAAAAAGAUGGAUCUCUGCAGAUGUGUAUCAACUAUCAAGUAUUCAAUAAGAUCACCAUCAAGAAUAGAUAUCCUCUACCUUUGAUUUUAGGACUUUUUAAUCAACUAAAUUAAACCAAGGUCUAUAUAAAAAUAGAUCUAUUAAGAACAUAUAAUAUAUUAUGUAUUAAGAAAGGAGAUGAAUAGAAAAUUUCAUUUUAAAUGAGGUAUGGACAUUUUAAAUAUAAUUUCAUGCAUUUUAGACUCACAAAUGUAUGAGCUGUUUUUCAAUAUCUAAUGAAUAAUGUCUUUCAUGAGUUUUUUAAUGAUUUUAUUGUUUUUUAUUUAAAUGAUAUUUUAAUCAAGUCUAAGAAUAUAAAAGAGCAUGAAGUUUAUAUUUGUUUCAUGUUAAAAAAUUUAGAGAUACAAGAUUACAUGCAAAUUUAGAAAAGUGUGUAUUCUACACUACUCAAGUUAAUUUCUUAGGUUAUAUCAUUUCCUAUGAAGGGCAAAUGAUAGAUUCAAAGAAGGUCCACACUAUUAUAGAUUGGAAGAUUCCAAAAAUAGUUUGAAAUUUUUUAUGUUUUUUGGGCUUUGCCAAUUAUUAUUGGAUUUUCAUCAAGAAUUAUUUUCAUAUUAUAGUUCUAUUUACAGGUUUAACUUAUAUAGAAAAACUUGAGUAGAGUAAAGAAGUUGAAGCAUUGUUUGAUGCUUUAAAAAAAGAAUUUAUUUUUCUACCAAUUUUAUAUCAUGUUGACUUUUCUAAGGUAUUUUUCAUGGAAGUAGAUGCAUUAGAGUUUGCCUUAGGUGUAGUAUUAUCACAAAUGUGAGCAGAUAACAAAUUCUUUUCAAUAGUUUUUUAUUCUAAUUUUUUUUUGGCAGUGGACAUUAAUUAUGAGAUCUAAAAAAAAUAAUUUAUUAUAAUUAUAAAUUCAUUCCAAGAAUGGAAUCAUUAUCUAGAAGAUACUUUAAGUAUAGUCAUCAUAUAUAUAGAUUACAAGAACCUCAAGUAUUUGAUAUCGGCAUGUAUUUUAAAUUAUUGCGAAGUACAUUGAAGCAUGUCUUUAUCAAGAUUUGAUUACAAGAUUAGUUAUUGACCAAAAAAACAAUAAGGUUUGUUGAACAAUAUUUCUAAAUAUUCUUAUCUUGGAUUAAAAAAAAGAGAUGCAUCUUUUCAUCAACAAAGAACAAUUAUCUUGAACGCAAAACAUUUUCACCUUGAAGCAAUAAAAUCAACAUUGAUUGUUGAUUCAACAUUUCUUAAGCAAAUUCAAUCAAGUGUAUCUUUUGAUCUUUUUUUCUAUGAUAUCAAGAAUAAUUCUUUUAAGUCUCAUGAUACUUCCACAUUAGAGUUGAAAAACAACCUUUACUAUUUUAAAAGACAAUUAUAUAUUUCAAAAAGAUCAAUUACAAUCACAUAUUCUUCAAACUUGUCAUGACUUUCUAACAAUCCAACUUUUUGAAUACAAUAAGACUUUGGAGCUAAUAUCAAGAGAUUUUUGGUAGUCUCAAAUGCAAAAGGCAGUCAAAGACUUUAUAUAAUUAUGUUAUAUUUGUUCAAGAUCCAAAACUCCUUGCCAUUGAUCUUAUGGACUUCUUCAACCAUUAUCUAUUCUAGAACAACUAUGGUCUUCCGUUUCUAUGGAUUUUAUCACAAAUCUUCAAGUCUCGAUUUUGUAUGAUUCAAUAUUCAUGGUAGUAGAUUGUUUUACUAAAAUGGCAUAUUUUAUACCAUGUACAAAAACUAUCACAAGUAAAAAGAAUAAAAAAAUAAAAAAAUAAUAAAAUAAUAAAAUAAACUUUUUCUUAAUAAUAUCUAUAGCUAUCAUAGAUUGCCUAAAGAUAUUAUAUCAAAUAGAGAGAUUCAAUUUAUAUCAAGAUUUUAGGAAAUCCUUUUUAAGAAAUUAAAAGGUAGAUAUAAAACUCUCUUUGGCUUUUCAUCCUCAAACUAAUGGGCAAACAAAAUCAAUAAAUCAAGUUUUGGAGUAGUACUUGAAGUGUAUCAUCAACUAUCAUCAAGAUGAUUGGACAAGAAUGAACAAGUCAAUCUUGUUACUUAUUAGUUAUAUAUACCGGAGUCUAUGAAGAUCCACCAUGUAUUUCACAUGUUUCUUCUUAAGCCAUAUAAGACAGUGAAUAUGUUAAGAAGAAGACAAAUACCACCUCUUCUUAUAGAAGUCGAAAAAAAUCAAGAAUUUGAGGUCUUAGAUUCUAGACAGCAUUGAAAUAGGUUAAAAAAUCUUGUUCAUUUUCAUAGAUAAGAUAUUAGUAAAUGCACAUGUGAGCCAACAAAGAAUCUUCCAAAGGCAGCAAAGAGAGUUGCAGCUUUUCAUUGACAAUAUCUAUCAAAACCAAGAUAAAAAAUAACAAAUAUUUGCCAUAAAAGAAACAAGAUGAAAAGAAGAUAAUACUCUACCUUCUAUCUUUCUUUGUAGCUUCUAUGUAUUUGUGACACUAAAGAGAUGGAAAACUAAUAAUUAGCAGAUUCAACUUAAAAGCUUUUAUUUGCGGACUUACCAAAUGAGACAUUGCAAUUGUCACAACCUUCAAGACAAACAUGUCCCUCUUCGAAUAAAUGGCAAGAUAUAAUUUGUUUGGUAUUACAACCUUAGAAGAGACUCUCAAUAUUUGAAAUUUUCAUUAGAAGUAGGAACAACUCUUGAUAAUGUUCCAAAUAUUUUAUUUAAAAGAAGUUAUGAAGGCCUAAACAAUGACCAAAUAAUAGGGUAGUCUUCUUGCCUAGUAUAAAACACUAUCUAUGGCUGAGAGGACAUAUCAACUAUCUUUGAAGGGAAGAAAGAUCAAAGUAUGUAAAAAAAUAUAAUUUGCCACAUCUUAGAUUUCUUCAACAUAUGAAGACCACUCCUCAUGGAACUUGCUUAUAGAAGGGGGGGUAAUAUUACGAACAUAAAUAGAUAUACUAAUAAAUACCUAUAUGAUUAAAUAAAAUAAGUAAAAAUAAAUAAAAAUAAGUAAAAGUAGAUAAAAGUAAAUUUCUUUAAUAAUAUCUUUUAGAAAAGCUUCCUAGAAGCUUCAUAGAUGCUUUUUUAUUUUAUAUAUAUUUAUAAUUAAUUGAUAGGUUAGAAACUUGGUCAACGAGUUAUCCACAUGUUGAUAGCUUACAAAACAUGCUAACUAUAUAGCGCACAUAUAAAAAACUUGCCUUGCAAAUUAAGAUAUAUGUCUUGCAAAGUCAAGAUGAUUUGGUCAAAUUUUCAUCAACAUAUUUUCAUCAGUAUAAAAUUUCUAAUACAAAUUUUUUUCUUAUUAAUAUAAAAAAGAUAAAUUAUUAUAAAUAUGUAUGGAUUAUCAAAGGCUAAGAAAGAUCACUAUGAAGAAUAGAUAUUCUUUGUUUUUGAUAUUAGAACUUUAUAAUAAAUUGAAUCAAAGAAAGAUGUAUACAAAAAUAGAUAUAUGAAGAUCAUAUAAUUUAGUAUGCAUUAAAGAAAGAAAUGAAUAAAUGUCAAGAAUAUGAAUCUCAAAGAAAAAAAAACACAUAAAGUUUUUGGUCAAAUUUUCAUCAAUAUAUUCUUCAAGUAAGACGAAUUUAUUUUGUAAUACCCACAAAUUGGUCCAAAUGGCAAUUGGUUUUUUUUUCUUUAAGACCAAUUAAUCAAUCAUAAAUACUAUUUUUUAAAAAAAUAUGUAUAUUUUAAAAUUAUAUAUAUAUAUAGAUAUAUCUUAAUAAUUAUUAUAUUAGCUUACAAUAUUAAUUGAAGCCUUUUUACAAAUAAAAAUGGAUGAAGAAUAAAUAAAUAAAUAAAAAUGGCUUUCUUUUUUAACUUGCAUGAAAGCUCUUGCAUCUAUAAAUAAAGGUUUUGUUGUAACAGACUUGUACCUUUCUUCUUGAUUAAAAAAACUUUUAUAUGUUGUAGAUAAAAUUGAAAUUAUAAAAAAUCCAUUUCAUAUAAAGGUUGCAAUUUUUUAACUACAAAAAACCUAAAAUGACCGGUUUGAAAAAAGAUUUAAUAAUAUUAAGUAUUACUAAAUUAUUAUGAUCAUUUUUUGCUACUUUCGUAAAGAUAUUAUUGUAAGUAAUAUCUCCAAAAUACAACAAACAACCAUCUAUGACUUCUACAUGUACAAACUUAGUUUUUUCUAUUAAGAAUGUUUUAUAUUUUUUAACAAAAUCUUUAUCUAAAAAAUAAGCUUAAGUUCAUAAAAUUAAUAAUAUAAAGACUUUGUAAUUUUUAGAACCUAAAUAAAUAUCUAUGGUAAAAUAAGGUGAAGGAUUUAAUAAGAGAAUAUGACUUUUAGUAGAUAUUGCAUAAGAUUCUAGCUACAUGGACUCUGUUAUAGUCAGACAAAAUUAUUUUUUAAUACAUUUUUAUUAUUAAUAUUCAUGUUCUUCAAUUUAUAGUUGUAUUAUCUUUUUUAAUAAUAUUGAGUAAUAUAUUUAGGAUUAUCAUAAUAUAUAUUUAUUUAUUUAUUUAUUUAUGAUAAUAUUGAGACUUUUUUGAUUGAUGAUAGAUUUAAAAUAUAUUAUAUAAAUAUUAAAAAAAUCAUAUUAAAAAAUAAGUUUUUAAUAACUUAAGAGUUGUUAUUAUGAUUUGUUUUUUUCUAUCCAAAUCUUUAUUUUUAGAAAUUUUUAAAAAGUUAAUUAUUACAUGUUAUAAUUUGAAUAAUAAAUUAUUCUAAUCAAUAUGUUUUUGGAAUUACUAAUAAUAAAUCUUUGGUACUAACUUUUAAUUCAUAUUAAAGUUAAUUGAUAUGGACUUUAUCUUUCUAAUCCACAUCUUAAAUAAGGUUUUGAAAUUCAAUAAUAUGUAUAAUAAUUUAUUAUCAUUUGUAUCAUUAAAAUAAUAAUUUGUAUAUACUACUAUUUUUUAUUGCUUUCUCUUAAUGUCGAAUGAAAUAUUUCUAAGAAUUCAUUUAGAUCAUAUAGUAGUUAUAAAUCAUUUUCCAUCAAUGAUGCAAACUAAAAAAAACACUUCAAGAUAUGAAUGUGCUUAUGAAUUUAACAAAAAUAAAUCCAUUAGAAUAUUAAAAAGAAUUUAAUUUUUAAUAAAACUUGAUUUAUUAUAAAAAUCCUCAAACUUUUUAUCUUAUUCCAUUAAACUUCUCUAGAAUAUUAAUCUUUAUCUCCUACAUAUUUGUAGUAAGAAGGCUUUUUGAAUUUAUUGUGAUUUUGAUCUAUUUACUUCUCUUAAUUGUAAAACUUCUUCAUCUAAACAUUAUACUUCAAUGUUGACUUCUUUUACACGCAUAGGAAUAAUACUUCUAUUAUUGUUAUUAAUAAUAAGUAAAAAUUUUAUUCUCAAAGUGUUAAUAAGGUUGUGAAGAACUACAAUAGUUUCAAAUUCAUUCUUACUUCUACCAAGUAUAGCAUCUAUAAAAUAAAUAAAUAAAUAAUAAUAAUUAAAUUAAUUAUAAUAAAAAAAAACUUAAUAAAUAUACAAGUAAAUUAGAUAAUAUUAAUCCACAAUCUCAAAUAUCAAAUAAAAAUUUAUACACAAAAAAUGGUCAUCUUUAAAAAUAUAAAUUAAAUUAGAUUGAAUAUCUAUAAUAAAAAAAUAUAUUUAAAAAUAGAUAAUCUGCAACCUUUAAAAUAUAAUAAUAUGAAGGAGAUUAAUCUUUUCACUUUUAAAUAAAAUAUAAUAAAUAAUUAUGAUUCUUUUCAAACUAUCACAGUCAUAAAUCACAACAAAAAUUCUAUAGAAGCAAUAUAUUCUUGUAACAUUCAAAGAAAGAAAGUAGAUAAAUCAAAGAUAUGUAUAAGAUAAAAAUUAGAAUAAAUAUUUUCAAAUAUAAGAAGACUAGAGCUCUUGAAAUAAAGCUACAAAAAAAAAAAAAAAAAAAAAAAAAAAUGACAAAAGUAUAGAAGGCUUCAUUCUUGUCUCUACAUGUACUACCUAAGAGUUCCACGAAAACAUUUUGUGAAACCUCUAAAAUUUGUUCAACUUUGUAAACACAUGUAGAAUUUGAAAAGCAAGUAUCUUAUAUGCGUACCACAUGUUUAAUUUAUUGGAAAAAAUUUUAACCUAUCAAUUACUUAAAAAUAUCUAUAAAAUCAAAUCUAUAUCUAAAAAGCUUCUAAGAAGUUUAUCUACAAUAUAUUAUAUAAUUUAUUUAUUUUAUUUACUUCUAAUUAGUCUCUUUUAGCUAACUAAUUAUAAAUUUUGCUUAUAUUAGUGACAUUUUUUUGUGCUAAGAUAAGAUUAUAAGAAAGGCAUUGAUAAAAAUAAGAAAAGAUUUCACUCUUAUCUCCAUAUACACUAUCUAAUUAAAGAGCUACACAACAAUGUAUUAUAAAUUAUUUGACACAUGACUGACUUACAACAGAUGUAUUUAAUUUGCAAAGCAGUUUUUAUACAUGUAUAUCAAAUAGCUAAAUAUGGCCAAUAUAUAUAAUAUAUAGUCAAUUUAUUGGCCAAUUUUUAACCUAUCAAUCACUUAUAAUUAUUUAUAAAUUCAAAUUUACAUCUAUAUAGGUGAUAAAAAGCUAUUCUAAAAGAUAUUUUUAAAUUUAUUAGAUUUUUUUUUUUUUUCAUCACUAAUGCCAAUAUUGAUGUCUAUGAAAAAAGCUCUAUGUCAUUGUACUAACAACAACAUUCUAAAGAAGAAAAGCAAAUACAAGAUUAUAGAUCAUGUCAAGCUCAAAUGAAAAAAAUAUAUAUCUAUAUAGCUUUUUUUUCUAAAUUAAAAAUUAUUCUUACAAAUUGGAAGUAUUAAUAUCAUAUUUUUUAAUUAGCUUUGUUAAGUUGUUUUUAAAAAAAUAAAUGAAUAAAAUUAAGUUAUUAACCAAUUAAACUUUGAUAAGAUCCUUAGAUUUUUUUAUCAUUGACUAUCAAAGUUUUAAAGUCAACAAAAUUCAAAUGAACAAUGGUGUAUCAUAAAAGUGAUUUUUUUUUAAUAUAGUACAACCAUUGAACUUGAGAUUUAUGAAGGAUAUAAUCAUAACCCUAAUUGGUUUUGCCACCAAUUGAGAUAAUUUGGCCACCAUUUUUUUUAUUAUUUGACAUGUUCUAAAAAUGUGAGCAUUCAAUUGAAAAAUUGGCAACCAAAUUAGAUUUUAUUACCAAUGUAUCAAAAAACUUAGAUGAUUAGGCUUUUGUUUUGAGAUUGGCUACAAAAAUUUGAUAGUAAUAGAAGAACUGUUAACAGAAAAGUGUUGUUGCCUCUAUUGGACAAUGCCUCAUUCCAUACCAAAGAAGAUUUGGAGUUAACAAAUAAUGAACUACUAGGGAUAUUAAUUAUCCACCAACCUCCCACAUCAAUUUUAUGAUAAAAUAUUAAUUGCUAAAGUAUAUAAAUAUUGGGGGGAUUAAUUAUUGGAGGUUCAAAUAUAUAGAGAGAGACAUGCUGUAAGUGCAAAAUCUUGGGCACAAGUGCUCCCACCUCUUCUGAGACCUAAAACAAAUCUAGCAAGGAAAUUGCACCUGGCUCAUGGUUUUGUAAGUUCUUAGGCAAGUAAGGCAAGUCUCCAGUAUUGGUUGCUUUGAGAGGCACUGGAGUGCUAGAGGGAGAGGACAAUGGAUGUCCCAAUUAUUUGCAGUAGUUGGGACUUGGGGAGCCAAUCACUCUCUAUGGACGUGAAAGUAUGAGACAAAGAAAGGGUGGAAAGAACACCACCACUUGCUCCAUUUUCAGCAGUGAAUGCAGACAUGUGGUCUGAUAGUACAUGAUAACUUGAACAUAUAAUAUAGUUUAACUUUUCUCUAAAGUAGGGUCUUUGUUGGGAUGUAAGUUUUGUGCUGUUAUGUAUUUCCUCAAUUUAACCAAAGCAUAGGGAAUAUGUCAUUGUUUGUCAAGGAAAGAAAGAAGCAGACAUGGCCAUGUCUUGGAGUUGCUUGGCUGGAGGAGGUUUGGUCCUUUUGAGCUGUUGCCUUAGCAAAUUGGAUUCCUUCUACACAGAGAUAGUGAAGUAACGAAUAUUCUGGAUUCCAAUAGUACAUGCAUCCUUCAAUGUUGACAAGGUGGCCAAUCAAAGCCAAUACAUGUCCACCAUUAUAAGAUAAGUUCCAUGAUUGUGACAAAAUCAAAAAAAACUUGUGUUCCUGAGUACUUAACAUGAACCCAAAAAAGAAUUAGUGCAUUGAUGAACAUAAUGAAGUAAAAGCAGGAAGCAGAGCAACACAGAAAAGUCAUAUCAAAAGGGUUUGAUCAUUGACAGAUUUGUUUUAAAAUCCACUUGUUAAGAACUGAAACAACAAUGCUUGAUAUUCUAACAUUUCUCACUAGUGAAAUGGUGGAUGGAAAUUCUUCUUGAACUGAUGCAAUUUUUGUGGUGUCAUGGAAAGGAUUACUAAAGUUGUAACUGUGACAACAUCUGUUUCCUUAAAUAAUGUUGAUGCUAUUUCCAUGAUCUUUGUGGUAAAGCCAGAAUUUGAAACAAUAACUGAAGGUACACACACACACACACAUUUUUAUUUAAUGUCAUGAAUAGAUGCUUGCAUAUCCAUAUAUACACAAUUCUUUGUCAUGUAGUUUGAUUCUUUACCUUUUAAUUUAUCAUGUUGAAAUCUCAAAACUUUAAUUGACAGUUUCUGUUGUGAUAUAUUUUGGGAUUUCAAAAAACCAGAUGAUGGUGGACUCUACCCAUCCAAUGAAUUCAGGUUUGUAUUAUUAUUUACAACAAUGCAUUAGCUCUCCACACAGAUUAGUGCAUUAUCUAAUAAGUUGUGAAUCCAAAAUCAAAAUGUCUGCUAUCAAUAAUAAAAUUUUAAAAAGUAGUUUACAAAUUGAUGAUGUUACUUUUUUCAUUUAUAGAUAUAUAGGAUUAUUUUGUAUAUAUGAUGAAUUGUGAACAUCUAAAUUUUUAUAAAAUAGUCAUUUUCAUCCAAGUUUCAUAAAGCUAGCCUGAGUAUUUUGAAUUUUUUUAAAAAAAUAAUAAUAAUAAUAAUAACUACAUACUGUUUCUAAUUUUUGUUUUAACAAUUUGAUUUGUUCUACUAGAAAACAUGAACAAAAAUCUACCAACUUGUGUUGCUGAAGAGAGUUAGAGUUGGCACUGUAAAUACAAAGUCAUCACCUCCAAUCAUGGUUGGGAACAUGCAAGAGAAUAGGCAAGUGUUGUUGGAAUAUGAUUGAUAGAACUUCUUCUUUUUUUUAAUUUUAAAUAUGCAUAUGUAAAUGCUUGCUCAUAUUCAUUUAUGUAGGUCCAACUGGAAUUCUUAUUAGAUUUAGAUUCCAGACUUAAACAUCAAGGAAGAACCCCAGAGAGAGAGAGAGAGAGAGAGAGCACCAGAGAGAGAACUAAAAAUAAAAUAAAAUAAACUAUUCUUCAGGUCUAUACAACCAAAGAGGCCCCCACAAAUGCCUGCAGCAGGGAAGGGGUGCUGUUGCUGCUGGAAAGCUUCAUGAUAGCAGGAGGGGCACCCACACUCUUCCCUCAGAGAUUUGAACACACAACUGAGGCUCAGGUUCUAAUGAUAUAUUCAAGUGGUGAGUGUGUGAAAAGGCUUUGCAUAGUCUUUGAUGAUUAGGCCACUCACAAGCCCAAUUUCACCCCAUAGCUAUUGUACACAUCAUCCCUCUCAGCAACAUGGGCCAAUUCUCCAAUCUUCUCCUUCUUCAUCUUCUUCCUUUGAAUGCUUGAAGCUGACGGCCAAGAAUGUGAUUGUUGCACACUUAAUACUGCAUUGCUGGCAGUCAGCAUGAUCUCUUCUUGCACAGAGUCCAAAAGCAACUGCUCUUUCUUUCUGUAUUUGUGUGUGUGGUGGUGCCUGCAGUUGUUGUGUGCAUGAGAGAGUGAGUGUCAAUGUGGGAGUGAACUGCUGCUGGAGGGUACCAUCCAUCACAACAGUUGAUUAGAAACUACGCAUGUGAAUGUGUCUCUGUCUGUAAGAGAACCAAAUUGAACCAAAGCAACAAGGCUCUCCUCUCUCUCUCUCUCUCUCUCAACUUGUUUGAUCUAUCUGUGGGGGGUCAAAUCACUGGAACUAAAGGUGCCAGGGCAGGAACCUUCAAUUAUACAGCAGAAGCAGUAAUGGAAGGGAAUACUACUCUUGUUUGUUUGUUUGAUAGAAGGAAGGGGAGAUGUAUGUAAUAGAUGGACUGAUGAAAUGGUAACCUGUCACAGUAAUGGGUUCACCAUGUGAUGCCUGGUAAACAAAGCAUGUGGGGGGGGGGAGUCUAUUCACCAGUUUCACAUUAGCGAGCGCCCUCCCAUGAGCCCUUCUCUGACUCUCACAGCAACAGCACAUAGGGACAGUUGGGGGACCCCCUUCCUUGUCUAGAUCUUUCUCCCAUUAAAGAGGAGAAUUGCUGUUGAGAUGUAGAAUCUAAUGUUGGAAUACCUUUAACUGUCAACUGAAGGUUUUUCAGCUAUCUCAAGGGGGCUUUAUUUUGGAUAAUAAUAAUAAUAAUAAUAAUAGUGGUGGAGAAUUGAGGUAUUGAUGUGCUCCAAAAGAAAGAAAGAAAGGAAGGAAGGAAGGAAAAAUGAAUUGCUGCAAUGGUUUGAUUGAAAAAAAAUGAACAAUUUAGUUUAUUGCAUUUGGCCCCUAAACCAACAUAUAGACUUAGCAAACCACCAACUACAUCUUUGUAAAGUUUGCCAAUUAUUGGUGGGUAUGGAAUGGACUUGAAAUCUUUCUACAUGAAGAAUGAUUGUUUUUGGGCAUGAAGAAUGGUUGUUUUUGGGUUUGUGCAAAAGCAGUUUAGGGUAAGGUAUAUGGGUUGGUUCUAGGACAUGACAUGGAUUAAGGUAUUUCAAUAUUAGUAAGUGAGCAGAUGUGUCCCUUUAACUCUCUCCCUCUUCAACUGCCUCCAAGUAUGUGUAUGGCAAAGCCAAAGGAAGGCACUGAACCCCACACCAUCAAAAAGCUGUCAAAGCUUAUGGUUAAACAACAAACUUGUAUGCUGCAAAGUCCCAUACAGAGUGAAGCAGUCACUAUUGAGUUAGUUGCCAUAAAGAAAGAAAAAUAGGAUACACAUAUUCAUUCAUUCUUGAAUGGUUUAAUACAGUGGCACUUACAUGUGAUUCAGUUAUACCACAAAAUGGGGCAGUUUGGUACAACUUAUAUUUGAGUAUUUGUGUUGCAGAAAACCUUUGAAUACAUUCUUAUGAAGAAAUAUUCUAAUUUUCUUUUGUUUAAAUUUUUUUUAGUAGUUUGGCCCCAUGGUAACUUUGAUGAUAAUGAAUUCCUUAAAAAGAAUAAAUUGCAAAACCAGUGUAGGAAAGCAGUUUGUAUAUUUAGAAUGUGUUUUUGUUUCUUUCCCCUCUUCACUCCAAAAACCAAGACAUCCAAUUUUGAAAGAUGCAGACUCUGAUGUACUUACAGUUACAACUAGUAAAUACAAACUUGCAUGUGUACACCAUAACCAAACUAACUAGACUUUUGAUAACAGAUUGGUACAAGUAAAGUUUUAAAGUUCUGUGAGAGAGCCAGGUAACACUAUGAACAUGAAAUAAAUAGACAAUUAAAUAAUGAUGAAAUCACUAUAAAAUAUAUAAAAUGAACAAAGUAACAAAAAAUAUAUAUAAAAAAAAUCUCUGAUUAGAGGAAUUAAACUUUGCAUGUAGACUUUUUGGACAAAGCUUUUAAACCAUCUCAUAGUGACCCCUCCCUCCUCCCAUAUAAAGCUACAUCUCCCAGCUUCAGAUGGGCCAAAGUCAACUUUGCCUCAAGCAAAUGGCUUGUCUUUCCAGGGAGCAGCUCUGAUGGAUGGAUGGAUGGUCAGAAUGGAUAGACUACAUGGGGGGAAUUGAUGCAAGGGACUGACAAAAGCACUACCACAACCUCAUAUUCAGGAUGUGGAUGUACUUGAGGAUGAAUGUCUACGUUUAUCAACGCAAGGUACAGAAAAUGAGGGGAAAGGAGAAUAGGUGCUCAGAACUGAUGAGAGGAAUGUUAACCCUAAUUCUACUCCAAAACGUUCCGCCAUCCAAUUUCAAGGGCUCUAAAGAUUCAUCUCCAUUUCAUCCAUAUGCUCAACCCUAGAAAUCACCACUUCUCCCAGGAGGAGAGGGGAUUGACCUUGACUGACAAUGGAAAGGCAGAUGCUAUGAGCCACUGGUAGCCAAUGCUGAUCAUGUCCUGGACUACCCCACACUUGGUCACAUGGUUCACCCCAUAAAUCCUGGCCUUCCAUGCCCUAUCAUCAUCACUAUCAUCCUCACCAUUAUGUUAUUUCUCUUUACAUUUUAGUGCAUUAGGGUGAAGGAAAAAAUUAAUUAACAAAUUGUGUAGCAGUUGAGUAAUGCCCAUUCUCCCACACAACCCUCACUGCACAAGAUGGAAAAUAACAACCCCCAUCAUGGCAUGGAAUGAAAUGUGCAUCCAUGAUGGUGGGCCAAUGGAGCCCCAAGCCCUAAAACAUAUAGAGGUCUUUACAUCCCCGAUGCAAUUCAUGCAUGAGAGGUAGACAACCCAUUUCCCAUGAGCGUUUCAGCAUAUUUGCACUGAGUUUAAAAAUAAAAUAAAAACAUCCACUUGUAGAGAAAUAGAAAUGAGGAGGAUUCCAAGUGUUUUCACACAACUUGGUCCAGAGAGGGAAUUUAUAUAAAUGUUUUAGCUAAUGAUUCUCUUUGACAUAUUUUUGACAUGUUGGCCAACCUAAUUCUGAUCAUAGGCUAUCCUAAUCUCAAUCACUGGUGGAUUACAAAACUAAGAAUCCAACUUUUACAAAACUAAGAAUCCAACUUUUACAAAACCAAGAAGUUGGCACCUAAUUUUGCUAUCAAGGGAAAUGUGGCACCUAGUUAUACUAUCAUUCCAUGCCAAUCAAUCAACAACUGCCACCAAUUGAUAAUUCACACAUGCCCAUUUCAAGUACAAUAAAUUUUAUUUAUUGCUCACAACUCAACAUCAUUCUAUGCUUGAAUGGUUACUGUUGAGAAAUGAGCUUGUGUGUUGUGGCUCUCCUAUCUCUUUCUUCUUGCGUAGUGAGGCAAAGUUCCUUUUAGCACGUCUCCUUCAAUACACUCUCAAUUGUAGGUCAAAGUCUCCCUUUCCUUCGAAUUGUUUUCAACAUCACCCAAUACCAUUUUCUUAUAUUCUACCACCAAAGUCUCAUCAGGUUUUUAUUGUUGAAUGUACAUACAUGCAUACUUUUUCAAAAAAUGCAUAUCAUGUUAGUCAUAGUUGAGCUAAGAGAUAUUGUGAGAAGGACAAUUCAAGAGCAUAAAUAUUAAACAAGUAUUCUUUGACAAAUGUCACUUGGGAGAACUUUGUGCUUAGGGGACAAGGCAAGAGGGUUUAAUUCUUAAAUGUUUUGAUUGGCUGAUAUUGAGAAGUGUUGUUGAGUUGGUUUUAGACUUUGAAAAUAAGUCAAAAUGUUAUGAGGAAAAAAAAAAAAAAAAAAAAAAUGAAGUGAAUUACAUUUUUUUUUUUUUUUUUUUUUUUUUUUUCCCCUUCCUAAUGGUAUGAAUAUUAAGAAGUUACAUUCAAAUAUGCUUAACAUAACUGUUAAAACAAAAAAAUCAAUCUUUAUGCACUUCUCAUUAAUUUUUGAAUCAAAAUAUGGCCUGACAUACUUAGACUCAUACUAAAAGAAUAUGUUGGCAUUAAUUGGAGAGUGCAAAGUGGAUUUAAAAAAAAUAUGAAAACUGUUGUUACACAUUGAAACCAUGGGUAUCUGCACAAACCACUUACCAAACAGUGAAUGAAUGUUAUGCAACAUCUUGAGUAGUAGGCCUGAAAUUCAUUCAAAUGAUGGCGAACAGGUAUAUGCAUUACUGUUUUGGGAAAAUUUCCAUGUGGCCUGUGGCUAUAUAAGAGAAUGUCCCUAAAUUCAAAACAUUUGAUUGGGAUUUUGAAGAAUGGUGUGCUAGAGCCACUUCAACGGAUUUGGAGGAUUGAUGACCAAGAUCAAAGGGAAAUCUCAGUUGAAGUUGACUUCACAUUAUCUCAGAAAAGAUUAGUCCAAGAUUCCUUCAUUACACUGUCUAAACAUAGUUGAAACAAACUGUACAUCAUACUGUCUAAACAUACUUAAAAAGCUUGUGGAAAUCAAAGUAUUAUUAUGUUGGAUCCAUUUCACACUGCUGCAGCAGAGGUAACUGGAUCACUUUCUUUUUCAAUUUGAGAGAGAAAGGUUACCUCAUAUAGUAAACAUGGAUUUGAGAUAUCCUGAAUGCAGAGCCAAUUAGCAAGUAUCUACACAAUGAAAAUAGCAUGUACCCACAAUGGCAAUAUUGAGGCCUUGGACUUUAAUUUUUUGAUAUUCAUGCUGACAGAAAAACACUCAUAUAAUAGUGGCCUGAUCUGCAUUGGAAUGAAAAAGUUCCUACCCAUUGCCAUCCCAAAGUUACAUCAUAAACUUGAAUGGUUCUACAUGGCAGAACUUUGCCCUGGGCAGGUACCAAAUGAAUAUUCCACAUCAUUGGUAAAUAAUGUUAGUGUUUCUCCUGUCUCAUGUAGGAUGAUAUCCUUGCUCAAUGAAUUCAUUAUACCUAAUCAGGUUGGAGGUUAGAAACCUUAGCAAGCUAGAUCAAAAGAUUAGAGGAUUUCAACAGAAUAUUCAUGUGAUGACUGAGAGGAAUGGAGAGGUCACUUUGAAUAUGGUGGUGUGAGUGCCUUUCUGUAUGAGAGGGUUACAAGUGUACCUCAUCAAAAUCUUAACUCCCCAACACUCAUAGCUCUAUCAAAUCCUGAACAAUACUAGCAACAUUCUUGCUCAUGUUAGGGGAAAAAUGAAAGAUGUCCAUGUGAUGAAUUGAAGCACAAAGAGAUGAGCACAAAACCCUAGUCACAAAGCAAAGAUUUUGAAUAAUUUCAAAAGUCUCAACCACAUUUUGAAAGCAUUUCUUAAAGUAGAGUGCAAAUGGAAUUUGAGGUUGUGAAAGAAAGCCUGUCCAAUACUAGUGUGCUUGGUUUCAAUACACCUUGAAACUGAAACAUGAUUAGAAUUGUGAUUAUGGGGGUAUGCAAUUUCCAUCAUUUUCAUGUUCAAGUGGCUUCUAAAAGGCUUUUGUGGUGGAAUGGCAAAGUUGACCUGGGUAUGAUGAGUUCGCCAGAAUGAUGAAGAUGGAGGCGACGACGUGAGGAGGCUUGGGAAAGAUGCGAUCCGAGCACCGGGAAUGAGGUAAAAAGCCUACCACACCCAUGCACGAUUUGGAAAGGGGGGAGCGAUGGAGGGGAUAAGCAAGACGAGGGCGACGAUGUUGGAAACCCCGCGGGGCCCUCACCUGUGGAAGGCUGAAAGAGCUCUCGGCAACCCUACCCAAUAGGGCCUCAUACCAGUAGACCUUCUUUUCUGGAGCAGAGCCCCAGUGCCGCUUGCAAGAAGAAUUCAAUAUUUGAAUGGGGAGAGGGAGGAGGAGGUGUGUUCACACAGGGCACUGCGGCCGAAAGCGGCACGGCAUGAGCAGUAAGAAUUGAAUGCGGGAUGGUAAGUUUGGAGAAAAAGGCGAGUAAAUGAAUCGCCGGCUGUUUCUGGUGUCGUUACCAAAUUUAGACCCUUCAACCUCCGUUCCCAUCUUCGUUUCUCCGUUGCACCGUUAUCGUCGAGCUCCUGCUCCUGCUGCGUUCCCCCACGAAGCUCUUGGACAUGCCAUUGUAUCUGUUGGAGAGGCAGGUAGUGUACCUUUUUGCUUUUCGCGCUUUGGCUUGCCAAAUAGCGCAGUCAUAGGGCAGUUUAGUGUGGUCAGACCUUGUUGGCGGCUCCACGGAAGCGGCGGUGGUGGCGCUUUUGUAAGCGGAGUGCGAGAAAGAUUUUGGAUGGAUGGUUCAGGCGGUAGCGGCCAAAUCUCCUAUCACACUUAGAUUGAGCUACCGAAGAAAGGAGUGUAUGAAGGAGCAACCAUUAAUAGAAAACGGAAGAUGGCUGGAAACAGGAGGUGGCACGGAGAGUGUUUGGUGCUUGACAGGGGCAACAAGCCAUGAAGUCUGAAAUAUUGGAAGCUUCUGCCUAGAUGCCAUACUUAUUGACGAGCGGGUCAGUGGAUGAGCAGAUGUGAAGGAAGGGCAGAUUGGUGCAAUUGUUGGUUGCUGCUUUCGGUAUGAUCUUGUCGCUGAGAAUUGCUCGCAGAGUGGUAUGUUAGUGUGCAUGGAUGGUGGAUCUUCGCGAAGGUUUUAGGGCCUAGGUGUAUUGCACGAUUGGGUGCGUUGUUUGGAGAGUUUGUGGAUGUUCGAUUAGUUAAUGGCAGGGUUGGACGGCAGACGGAGAAGGGAGAGGGUACGAAGGAGAUGAACGGUGAUUGAUCGAACGGGGUGGUAGUGUGAAGGGGAAAAGUGAUGUUGGUGAGGCGGUUUGGAGGAGGGAAUCACACAGUCUAGGUGUUGGAUGGGUUUACAGGUCAGGUUUGGCAAGUUUUGGAGCGAGUAAUUGUUGUUGGGUUGGGUUGGAUAAGAGGAUUAAAGGGGCACCGACUGUGAUGAAGCGCUCGGGGAUCAUCGAAGGGCUUAGUGAAUGUUUGUGGAAUUGGCCUGGAGUUGUGAAGCCGAAGGUUUCUGAAGCGCUAGAAUGGAAUUAAUCCACGUCAAUCGCCAUGGCUUGAGCAGCGUGCAAAGUGCGGACGAGUAAUCCAAGGAUUGAAUAUGCAUGGGAAUCUACAGUUUUCGCAGAAAAUGAGCGAAGCUGGUGGUGUAUCUUGGUGGUUAGGAGGGAUCAAGAUAGUUUGGAGUCAUGUUUCCCAGUAGCAUUGUGAACUUGUUGCGGUGGAAGCGGCGCAAUAAGAAUUUGGAAUUUGUGGUUUUCAGUUUCGUCGCGAGUAGAGUUUCAGGUUCUUGAUGGGAAUAGCUUUGUCUCUGUAGAUGGCCAGUGAGGUGUUAUAUUCCUCUGCGAAGAUGGUGGAUGUGCAAGCAAUGCCAGGGUUGUGGCCGGAGUCCACUCAGGCGGUGAUGCUUGAUAGGCGAAGACGACAUACCACGGAUCUUCAAGCGGCCGGGACUACGGGGAGGCAUGUUGUUUCCAAAGAGAAUACGUUUAUUGAUUCUGAGCACUUCAAGGAGCUUCUGGAUCGCAGCUGUUCGGCUGACUCUCAGCAAGCGUCCCUUGCGCGGCUGUACGAAGAUCGACAGGACAAUGCUGUGAAUCUUCUCAAGCAACAGCUUGAGACACUCAACUCAGCUCGAUUAGAAGCCGAACGGCGUCAGAUCCAGAUUAUGGAGGAAAGCUACUAUGAGCCCAUGUAUAAUGUUGGGGACGGGUCCACGCUUAGUGAAGAUAGCCCUCGAUACGAGCACUUUCUUGGGGAUGACGGUCCGGGAUCUUGGAGCUCUAUUCCUGGAAGUGAUAGCUGUUCAGUGGAGAUGGAAGGAGAUAGUUUCGGUCCCGCUGAGUACUGGCGAGACCGUGCGCGUGGUUAUGCCAAGCUCUUGACAGAUAGUAUACGGAGGGAGGAACAACUGGUCGAAAAAUUGAAUGAGUAUGCCUCAAUGCCUCCCCCGAGUUGGCAGCCUAUUGAAGAGAUUCGAACGCAGCUCCACCGCUUUGACAAUUUUUUACGGUUUUCUUUGAGGAAGGCGCCGGUGGUAAUUGGACAUCAGGUGUUUUACCAAUCUUACAGGUUAAUAGAGGAUUGGAAGAAUUAUUGCUUGACCUGGGACUUUUUUUCUUGGACCGACACAGUGAGUGCACAAUAUGUAUCCACAGGGAAUGACAGGAAAUUUAACGUUAAGUUGUGGGAAACCUUCGAAGGUGGCCUUCUUGUGUGUCAUUGUAAUAUUUCUUCUUAAGGAAUUCUUAGCAAUCUCGAGCUUAGAUAAAUUCUGUUUAAGAUAUGUGGAUUCUACACUCGAAAUUAAGUUAAGAAAUGCUAAAUAAUUUCAAGCAUGAUUUAUAGCUGUGAUAUGGCUAAAGAGAUACUGAAGCUUCCCUUGACAUAUCUCGCAGGACAGCGAUUUGCGGUACCGGUUUAUCUACAACGCUUUUCCCACAUUAUCGGAAGAGGUACUUUACAAUCUUUUUGCUUCUCUAUCUUUUCGUGAGGCAUCCUUUUUCUACUUAAUAGUUAGGGUGUGUUCUCUUGUGCAUAUUUGCUUGGAACCUUAAGUCUUUCGGCUUACAAAGGUCACACAAUGCUUCUAAGCUUAGAUUGGAAUCUGUUCUGUUUCCUUUAAACUUAGGCACUCGUUGUGUUCAGAUAUCUUCCUCUGAAUAGAAAAUGGAAAUAGCUCGUUCCUCAGUAUUAGACUUCUUCACUGGACUUCUGAUCUCUUCUCUAUCACAGAUAUAGCAUCGUUUACUUGAAUGCAUGCCGUAAACUCCUUUGAAUAGUGUUUGAAUUCACCUUGCUAUUCAGGAAGUAAUCGGAAAGACGGAUAUAGAGAUAUACAGCGGAUCGGGAGUAGCGGAGCUGAUGGACUUCAAGCGAGAGGUCAUGCGGAAGGGGUGGCCUGAGAAAAGAGAAAUUUCUUUUAAUACAGACCUUUUUGGUGAAAAAACUUUCUUGAUCGCUGUAGAACCCGUGCUGAGUCGGUCAGGAGAAGCCAUGGGCCUCAAUUAUAUUGCCAUGGAUAUUAGUGAACAGGUAGACAAGCGUGAACGAAUUUCGCGGCUUCGCGAGGAAGUGGCUGUGCAGAAGGCCAUGGAAGCUGAGCUUCACAAAACCAUUCAUAUUACUGGUAUUUUUUUCCGUGACUAAUCAUGGAAGAUGAAAUAAGCUCAAUACCAGGCAGUUGAUUUUUCGGAGUGACAUUCGGAUGUGUAUAUUCAAAAUGUUGCUAUAGUCUCAAUACGUUUUCGGUGUACCAAUUUUUUUUGAGUAGAGGCAAAUCUUGGAAAUGCGCAGAAGAAGCAAUGCGUGCAAAGCAGAUGCUGGCAACAAUGUCGCAUGAAAUUCGUUCUCCUCUGUCUGGUGUAGUAAGUAUAGCCGAGGUGCUGGCCACCACGCAGCUUGACCAGGAGCAGCGGCAGCUAGUGGAUGUCAUGGUGUCAUCUGGUGAUCUAGUGUUGCAGCUCAUUAAUGACAUCCUAGAUCUUUCAAAGGUUCAAUCGGGUGCGUAAUAUCACCUCGUUACUAUUUAUGCCGGGCAUUACUACAUUUCUAUAUUCUAGAUUUAAAAGAUUGUUUAUGUAGCAAAUUUUGUGCACCUGCAAAAAUGCAGCUGAUUUAUUUGUGGUCUUACAGGGGCAAUGAAAUUUGAGGCUAAAAAGUUUCGACCACGAGAGGUGGUGAAGCAUGUGUUGCAAAUGGCUCUUGCUAACAUGCAAUCUAAGGAUCUCAUCUUAGAAGGACUAAUCUAUGAUGAUGUGCCUCUCGAGGUCAUUGGGGAUGUUUUACGAAUCCGUCAAGUUCUCACCAACCUAGUUGGGUAAUGCACCUUCAGACCCCUUCUUCCAUUUCACAUGCGAUUUCUUCGGUUCAUGUAGGGGAUCCUAGCAUGAUACAUGAGCUUUGACUCAAAAACACGAGCGAAGCUGCACAAUCAUUGAUGCUAAUUGUUUAUUUUGUGGUUUUAUUUUUUCUUAUUCUUCCAUGUGUGUGUGAGUGUAGUAAUGCUAUUAAAUUCACACAUGAGGGAUCUGUGACGAUAAGUGUUCGGGUAGUCCCUCCUCCCCCCCCCUCUGUCGAAAGGGCAGCCAAGAAUGUCUUUCAAGCAGCUACUGGGAUUUCUGCAACAGCUUCGGGUCACAGUGUACCCUCUACUGAGAUUUCUUCUGGAGGUUCUCGACCGAAUUCUUCUCCGGUGACUUCAAACCAUGAAGCUGGUGAAACUUCAGGGGACGUGCAUGCUACCGAUAGCAAUUCGCCGCUUACAAGCGUGCAGUCCAUUGCUGAAUGUGGAGAGCUUGCAGUAGGCGAAGGAGUUGAGGAUGCUGUCUGGCUACUUUGUGAAGUUUCUGACUCGGGCAUUGGCAUCCCAGGUGAGCCAAUAUAGUAGCAACUUCCAGUACUUCUGUUUAUGCACAUUUAAGAUUCCUGACUUGUUUCUGUAUUAUCACUAAGAAAAUAAGACACAUUUCUUACAUGUAUUACUUAAGCUGAAGCUUUUCCCAUGAAGCAAAGAGCUGUUUUAGCUCAAGGCCUGGUCUCAGACCUCUAGGAAAUAGAGCUCUUGCAUCUGGUUGUGCGGGCGGGCUUACGUUGAGCGUCGAAAUUCGAUAGGCCUUGGCUAACAGUAGCUUGCUACUUUGCAUCAAUCAUGUAGAAUCGGCAUUGCCAACAUUGUUUGAGAAGUACACCCAGGUUAGCACAGCCCAUGCCCGAAAGUAUGGUGGCACUGGAUUGGGAUUGGCGAUCUGCAAGAACUUGGUAAGUAGUAUGUUCAUGCAACUAUCUUUCUGUCUUAUGCAACUAAUUUCACAGCGGGCUUCUAAAUAAAAGCUUAUUUGCUGAACUGUGUGAUCACGAUCAUUAUAUAUUAUCGUUUGAUUAUAUUAGUCCCAGGUAUGUUUACCGUAAAAAUAUACUUCGAGAAGAAUACUUUGCAGCUCGUAGCAAUUUAGUGAUGUAGAAAAUGCAAAGAAUUUGAUUUGCAUGCAAUUGGCGAGUGAAUUUAUCAUCUAAGGAUUUUCUUAGAUUAUGUUGUUAGUUUACACUAAGUGUUGAUUAUGUUGAUUAUGUUGGAACGACGAAUUUGUAGGUGGAAUUAAUGGGCGGCAACUUGACGGUGUUGAGUAAAGAAAAUCACGGUUCUACGUUCUCUUUUGCUCUUCCUUUCAGAGUAGAUUCAGGAAGGUCUAAAAGCUCUGGUCGACUAAGUGAUGAGGUCUAUGAAAUGAUGACUAAUGAGGCGAAGUCGGAGUGUGUCAACGAGAGGUUGGUAUCGACAAAAAAGAUUGGUUACUUCCAUUUUACAUCAAAAGUUGCUUCAUUAUCUCCAACACCAUCUCUGAAUCCAUCUCCGGGUCCAUCUCCAAGUCGGUCUCCAACUCCACCCAUUUCACGAUGCCGUAGUAACCCAUUGUCUGUUGAUGCUCUCACGGAAUCAAAUUUCCUACAGAGAACAAAAAGUCAUGGUGGUCACAGACUCUCAAACCGACGAAAGUCAACAAAACCUGUUGCCAUAGGAUUUUUCCAUGAUGGUUCACCUGAGUUCAUGGAUGUCGACUCGAAGGCACCCGACCACAUGAAGUACAUACCUGGCUUGUCUAUGACACAGUGCCAAAGCCAAGCUCCUUUUGUGCAUAAACAAUGCAUGGUUGGACCUUCUUCCCGUUCCCAUCGCCCUUCAACUAAGGUUCGCUUGCCGAAAGUUCAGGCAGGACUAGCAAGAAAAGACAGAAUGACUUCAGAAAGUUCUGUGCUUCCCCACUCAAUUCAUGGUAUCCAGCACCAAAGACAGUCUCGUAUAUUGCUAGCAGAGGACAACAAGGUGAAUGUGAUGGUGGCGCAGUCGAUGAUGCAGCGGCUUGGCCACAAAUUAGAGGUUGUGAACAAUGGAGCGGAGGCUAUUGAAGCUGUGAAACGAAAUUCUUAUGAUGUUAUUUUGAUGGUAAGUGUACAGGCAGUGUACUGCACUUGCUUUUCGCUCAACGCGAUAUUAUUUACUACUAUUGUUGAGAAAUGUUUUUUUGAAUUGGAGCUUUACUGGAUGUUUUCCUUCGCUUGUACCAGGAACGUUUGAAUUUUCUCUGCUGUAGGUAACAGCGAUUAUAGUUUAGCCCUUUUUUUUUUUUUUUUUUUUUUUUUUUUUUUUCAACUUCAAGUUUUCCAUUUUCUCAUUUGAGCCUCUGGUAAUUAGCCAGGUUUUAUGUAAGUGGUUAACUCUUUUCUUGUGUUGUUUUGUUUUGUUUUGUUUUUUUAAAUUUGUUUUCUGUUGGUAUAUAAGUUGCAGUUGCUUUCUCAUUUUCGCUUUGCAGGACGUGUGCAUGCCGGUGAUGGAUGGACUUGAAGCCACCCGCAGGAUACGUCGUUACGAGGCAACGGGAUCGUGGGAGGAGUUGAAAGAAGGAGAUAUGAAUAGGAGUACAGAAUCUAGUUCUUUCGAACAUUGUUCUCGUGUGAACUUCGACAAUGCACAGUCUCAAAGUUCUACGCGACAAAGAACUCCCAUUAUUGCGGUGAGUUUUCCCGUGGAUUCAUUUUAAUCUCAAUUCUGUUUGUGGUGCAUUAAUGGUAUAUUUCACAUACUAUUUUUUACUUGAAUGGUGCAAUGGCACUGUAAUGAUUGAAUUGAGAUCACUAUGUGUGUUCUCAACAUAUCUAGUUAAGUCAAGGUGUGGCAUACCGCAAGGGGCUGUUGUAUUAGUGUCUUCUUUGCUCAGUAAUUUGAGGUAGGAGAGUAUUGUUUUACUGUUAUCCAGCUUGCAAUAUCUGCUUAGAUCCUAGAUGUUUCCAACGACUGUCAUUGUUUUCUGAAUUUUUUGGAUGUUUUGCGACACCUUUCCAAAUAUUGAUGCCCAGUUUGCUCUUUGCAGAUGACAGCGAAUGCGCUGACUGAUAACAUGAUGGAGUGUUACAUGCAUGGGAUGGACUCCUUUGUUGCAAAGCCCGUAACUUUCAGAAAACUUGAACAUGUGCUGAAGCAAUUCAUACCCUGCCUUGAUAGCUCUCAGAAUUCAUCGGGUCAACUAACUUCGACGGAAUCAGGUUCGUAGUGGGUGAGGCAUAUUCAUGGCAAGGAUAUCCCAAAUUUAUCAACUACGAUGGAGUAGUUGUAUGACACGAAGACAUCAGGGGGUGCAAAUACACAAAUUUUUAAGCAUGAGCAUCCUCUGAAAGCAUGUUGCGACCCUUAAGAGUGCUGUGCACAGAAUAGCUUUUCAAUCACCUUUUUCUUCACCCUUCUGCAUUUUUUCUGGUUUGGAAAACUCUAGAAUAAAUUUCAGGCCCAAUGGUUGCACUCUAAUUGGUGGGAAGCGUGUCUGAGCUGGAUGACAAUAUCCUUGAAGGGCCAGCCCGUGGGGAGUACUUCCGAAAGCAGCUGACUGUAUGAUAACCGUCAACAAGAAGUUGGCACCCCAUUCUUUUUGUAAUCUGUAGUACACUAACUCAAGUAAGUAUUAAGUAACAGCAGCACGUUUUGCAAUCUGUCCUUGUCUUGAACUAUGAACUAUAUGAUGGUUUCAUUUGUUGUGGCGAUACUGUGCUCAGCACUUCGUGCCGUUGCUGAUGCAUGAGUUAUGACGUUUGUAACUUUCUCAGGUCAUGCAGCCUGAGGUGUACAUUUUUGUACUAAAAAAUUGGAUUCCUCUUCAAACUGUACUUCAAGUAUGUGUGAUAGGUUUUUUUUGUCCUUCGUUUUCUGAAAAGAGAGGACUUGUGUCUUUUCAUUUCAAGGUGCAAUGAAAUAACCCUAUCAAAUCCUAAACAACAUUUAGUGGCUUGAACUGAAGUUUUCUCUUUUUUUCUUUUCUUUUUGCCACAAGAGUGUCCAUAUUGUCCACACUAUUAUUUUUUGAAGAUCAAGCAUUUAUAACAGGGGUAUAGUGCAAUUAGGAACUAGUUUAAUGAGAAGGUGGAAGGAUACUAGGAAGGUAGAGCAUAAUUUGUGAAGGGUAUCAAUGAAGGCAUAUGGAACUUCACAAAGUUGCUUCUAGUUUUGUUCUAACUUCAACAUUAAUUAGUGAAACAAAUUUUCAUGUUUGUUGGACCAUGUUGAUUUCCUUAGAAAUUUGAGUAAAUGACAUUCUUUUGAUGUUUAUAAAUAUAUAUCAAUAGGUAUAUGUAUAUAUAUGUGUGUGUAUGUUUAUUUGUAAUAAAAUAAAUUAUUCCUUCUUUUAUUAAGUAGCAAAGUACAUGAUAGUAAAGGUCUGUAGUCCACAAGUUGAUUGCAAUCUUUUUGUGUCAUUAUAGCCAAAUCAAAGUUAGUUCAACACAAAAUUAAUUUUUAUUUCAAAAAAUUUCAAUUGAAGGAAAAGAUAAGAAGUAUGAUGCUAUAUUAUUUAGAGGUAUUAGUUCUAGAAUAACAAUGUGUAAUUUUAGAAUAAUUUAUUUAUAAACAAUAUAAAAAAUUUGGUGGUUUUACAUUGAUAUUAGAUAGUUCUAUCAUCCUUAUUUUGUAGAUUUGGUUGUAAAUGAGAGAAAAAAAUGGAAUAGAUGAAUAGAAGUUGUAAAGAAAUAUAAUACCAAUUUGGAAUGUCUUUUAUUUACCUUGAUGAUAUUAAAUUAUAUAUUUAUUAUUUAUAUGACAAAUUAUAUUAGUCAUUUGAUAGAAUUACCAAUGUUUUUAAUUGUUAGACUUAGGUUUAUAAAUAUAUUGAAUACUUGCUUGUAGAAAAUUUUUUUGCAAAAAGUAUUUGAUUAAUAAAGUCUAUGAUUUAUUACAAGAUGUUUAUUAGAUUUUUUUUUUUUUUUUUUUUUUUUUUUAAAUUUUUUUUAUAAAAAAUAUUUAUAUCUAAACAAGAAGAUCAUCUAAUCAUUUAAUUACUUGUAAAGUCUUCAUAAUUAUAUUUAAAUGACACAUUUAAAAUACCACCAAGUGUAGUAUCUAUUUUCAAUCAUAUCACCAAACAUUCAAAUUCUCUUCUAAGGUCAUGGUACCUUAUAUAUUAUAUCUUGCCAAAUAUUUAAAAAAAGACAUAUCUUCUUUAAAUAUCUUCAUCUGAAUUCUAAUACUAUCAAGAUUAAGACAACCUAAAUGAUAUAUUUGGCACUUUUACAUAUAACAAUCUUUGAAAUAAAUUUAUUAAUUAUUGAUUCUCCAUCCUACAAUAAAGUUCUAAGAAUUGAUUCUUAUAUUUGCUUCAACUUAUUUUAUACCAUUUUUUAUAAAUGGUUGGUUCUUGGUUUAGAUGUAUGUUGAUAAAAAAUAGAAACCAACUUUGGUUUAUUUUUAAGAUUCUUUAAUGGUUCUAUUGUGCAUUUGUUCUUAUCAUAUUUUUAUAAAUAUACAAGACAUCUUAAUUUAUUUUGGUGCUACCUCAAAUCUAAGAUUCUUUCCACUUUAAAAUAUUGAUUUUUAUCUAUUUUAAUUAGAAAUGAUGGUAAUUGCUUCACUCAUGGUAUGUUGACCAUAAUAUAAAAAUUUGAGAUCAAGAUAUCAAUAAUGAAGUCUUUUGAAAAAAUAAUUGAAAUUGUUUAGAAUAUGCAAUAGUUGAAGAAGUCUACAAGAUUAAUGAUGUGGAGUCUUUGCUCAAGAAUUAAUAUCUUAGGAUUAAACAUAUUUUUUGACAACUUUCCAUGUUUAAAGUCAUAAAAAAAUCUCUUGAAAAAAAAUUCCAAUUUUUUUCAAAAAUAUAAGAUAAAUAGUUUUUUGAACCAAUUCUUUUUGUAUGUACUUCAAUACUGAUUAGGUGCUUUACCCAAUCAAUAAAAAACACUUCAAAUUUUUAGAAAACUUAGUUUAAUAUAGAAAAGAUUAUACUGAUUGGUGUGUUGAAUUAUUUUAUUAGAACUUCUGAAAUUAUUAUUUAAUGUAAAAUAUUGGUCAUUUCAAAGAAUUUUUUAUUUUGUAUACUAUUAGAAAGUCAUAUCCUAUGAAUAAAAUUAUCCAAUUUUUUUUUGUCUUAAUAUUUGAGAUUUUUUGACUAAAAAAAAAAAAUCACUUUAUUAAUUAAUUAAGAAAAAAAUUGUAAUGUAUAUAUAUAUAUAUAUAUAUAUAUUUAUAAAUUUAAAGCUUCUUAUUCAGUUGUGGAUUAAUUUCUUACAGCCAAAUUUAAUAAAAAUGAUGCUUUGAGUAUUGGUUGGUGAUAUUAAAUAAUUUUAAUUUAAGAAUUUUACAUAUGUAUAGAAAUCUGAAUCUUAAUACAUUAGAAUUAGAAUUAAAGCUUUGAUAUACAAUUGUUUCCAUAAUUUGAUAAUCUUUUUAACAAUAAUUAGUUGAAAUCAACUCUUUUAAGUUAAUGAUAAUUUUAUAAUAAGUUCUAUAAUGCCAAUGUAAUUUUAAAUCAAAUAUUGGUUGAAUUAAGCCAUGUCAUUUAAAAUUUAAAAUGUUAUAAAGAUGUGUAGAUGAAGAUAUUAAUAUAUAUAUAUAUAUAUAUAUAUAUAUAUAUAUUAUCUUCAUUAUAUAAUUUUUAUUUUUAUUUUUUAAUACAACAUAGUUAAAGUUAAUAUAUAAAAAUAAUAAUAAUAAAUAUUCUUAAAAUUAACAUUUUUUUUGUACUUUCAAAUGUUUUUGAAGAAUAAUUUAAAUUUAUACAAGUGAACAUUCAAAUUUGCUAUAUAUGCAAAAAAUUUCAGAGUAAGUUUGUACAAAUUUAAAAUAUUUGUUCUAAAAAACCUUCAUAAUGACUCCUUAAUAUACUAAAUAGAUAUUUUUGAAUACAUUAAAAAAAGAAAAGUCAAGACAUCAGCUCUUUUCUCUUUGUUAAGUUUUAUUUUGUAAGUGUUGGAUAAUUACACUUUGAUUUAGUUGUAUUUUCUUUUAUCAUUUACAAAUAUGUAAAUACACGGUUUUUUUUAUUAAUUACAAAUAGUGUUUUAUUUGAUAAUAUUAAUAUAUUAAGUAAAAUCAAGUAUUUUUUGCCAUAAUCAUAUUGACGUCUUCUUGGUUAUUUAUUCUUUUAUAAAUUUUAAGAACUUAGUUUGGAUAACUAGGAUUUCUUUAUUUUCUUUUGAUAUGCUUUUGUAUUGCUAAUGUUCAUGUGUUGUGGAUUGUGAUUGUUUUUAUACCUUUUAUCCUCAUUUGUGUUAAACUUUUUGAAAACUUGUAGCAAUGGUGUAUUAUUGGUAUACUAUGAGAAGGUUGUCCAUAGUAUAAAAGGGACAUGUCCACAUAGUAAAAAGAAGGUGUCUACCUAGCAGCUCUCUACAAAUAAUUUGCUAAAUUAUCUUUGUCUUACCAUGGUUUAAAAAUGAUAUUACAACUUUAUAAUAGUUAAUAUAUUAAUAUAUUUAUUCUUAACAGUUCUUUUCUCCAAUUUAUUUGUUGUGUCAAAUUGUAUAGAAAAAUAAAUUGAAUAAAAAAAUUGAAUUAAUUUAUCAAUCUGAUUCUCCUAAUUUUUUUAAAUUAAAAAUUUUAAGUUUUAAAAUUCUAUAUAUAUAUAAAUAAUUUAUUUUAUAUAAAAAAUAAGAUUUCUUGAAAUUCCAAUCCAUUAUAGUAAGAAGCUCUUUUAAAUAAGAUAUUCUGCCAUUUUAAAGAUUUUUUUUUUAGUGUAUUUCUAAAUAAAUUCAAAUUUUAGUUCUAUCUUUUUUAUUUUACGUCUAAAUUCUAAAAUUUAUAUAAUUUUUAAAAUAACUUAUUUUAAAAUUUAAAACUAAUUUUAAUUAAUAGAAACCGAGGUAGAAAUUAUAAGACAUACAUAGGUUUUUGUAAUCUUGUUGGCAUAGUUGAGGUCCUUUUUGGAUAUUGUGAUGAUGCUGAGAUGUUAUAGAUAUGUUUCAUUACCAUAAGCCUUCUUUGCCUUAGUAGUAAAGUUGUUGAUAAUGUUUGUUUUAGAGCUGUUUGACUUUUCUUAUAUUUUUAUUUAUUUAGAGAUACUACAUAAGAUCCAUAAAAUUUUAACUUUUUAACAAAUAUAUAUUUUAAAAAGGCUUGUAUGGAAAGUAUAUCUUAUUAAGUCUUUAGACUAUUCUAUAGUACAAAAUAGAAAGACUUUAAAGUUAUUAUUUAUAUUUUGUUUUAUUUGAUGAGAAAAUUUUAUUAUAUUUUUGAUCUUAAGCACAAAAUAUAACAUCUUAGUAAUAAAAAAAAAUAAAGUAGGUAUGUCUUUUUAUCAUCUAUAAAAACUAUUGUAUAUUUUCAUUUGAUAGAUUAACACCUAAUUUAAAAAAAAUUAAAAACAUAAAAAAUACGAAGAGAGUUUGGACAGAAGUUCCAACACCCCCUCUUGGACAAAGCCUAGUCUUCUUGUGUGUGUUUCACUAAGAUGGACAAGCGUCGAGGUUUGUGUGACGAUAGGCCUGGACGCGGGUUGAUUCUGGCUCUUUGGGCUCUUCUGAUUUUCUUCAGGGAUUCCUUCAACUGGUUGAACUUUAUCUGAUCCCUGGACCUGUGGUGAUGCAAGACGGUAAGACCAUUUGAGCCCCCUCUGAAGCUGCGGUGGCUUCUUUGCAAAUGUCACAAGUACAUGGAUUGAGGCAGUUUCGGUGUGGGUCUCACAAUGUUGGCUCAAAGGUCGUUCAACCAGUGAAGUAUUAUGUGGUUAGGCGUAGGUACACACCCAGGGUGUAUUUGAGUUGGUUGGAUUGCAAAAAAGAGGUGAAGAGGUACAAGAGAGCGGAUUUUAAGAUGUUCAAAACUAAGGCAAUAGCGGAAGAAUUUGUUUUUGUUUGAGAGCUUUUAGACUAAGUCUGUUUUGACCAAGUUUGAACUUUGUUCUUUCUAGUGGUUUAGUUAACAUGUCUGCAGGUUGUUCCUGCGUGUUUGUGUAGACUACAUUGGUUGUACCGAAUUCUAUUUUUUGUCUAGUAAAAUGCUAAUCGGUUUUAAAAUGUUUGGUUUUAUCAUGGAAUACCAAAUUAUGUGAUAUUUUAAUUCCACUUUGGUUGUGACAUCCUAAGACGGUUGGGCCCGUACCUGGAAUCUGAAAUUCUUAAUGUUUGUUUGCGAGAGCUCCAGGAGAUUGGUGAGCUUCCAAGAUAGAAUAAGCAAGCGGAUGUGGAUAAGUGAUUGUUGGUAUCUUGCGCAAAGUCCGCGUCAGAGAAGCCUGCAAGACAAUUUUCCUCCACGGCUUUGUAAAAGAUGCCGAGUGAUAGGUAGCGGGGGACAUGUUGCAAGAUUUUGCAUGCAGCUCAAAGAUGAGCUUGCUGGGGCCCAUUUGUAUACUGGUUGCACAGUCCGACGGCAAAAGCAAGGUCGGGCCUAGUUUUAGUGAGCCAGUGAAGUCGUCCGAUCAUCGCUCAAUAUUAAAGAAUGUCAUAGGGUCGAGUGCUGAUGUCUUUGCGGAGCUUGGUGCCUUCAUUUAACGAAAUGUGUGAAGGAUGGAAAGCCUCCAUCUUAAAUUGUGCAAGAAGUUCGUGAGAGUAGCUGGUUUCAUGAAGAAGGAGACCAUUGUCACUGCGGGUGUACUCGACCCCUGGAAAACGUUGAAUGGAGCCUAAAUUCGUCAUUGCAAAUUCGUGAUGUAACUGUUGUUUGAGCUUGGAGAUGUGAGGCAUAGAUGUGCUGGUGAUUUUAACGUCAUCUACAUGUUGUAGGAGGAUGACAAUACCGCGGGAGUCAUGAUGGUAGUAUGCAUUUGGAUUGGCUCGGCAACGGAGCAUGUUUUGACUUUGUAAGUAGUUAUCCAUUUGGGAGUACCAAUAGGGGAGGCUGUGAUUCAAACCAUAUAGCAAUCAAUGUAGGCGAUAGACCAUGUGUUCGUGGCCGGGGGAGUGUUGAAGGUAGACCUCCUCGUCAAGAUGGCCGUUUAAAAAAGCGGUUUGUAUAUCAAGCUGAUGGAUUGGCAAUCAAUUUUGAAAAGCAAGAGCGGCGACAGUUUUGAUAGUCUCCCAACGUACGAUUGAGACAAAGAUCUCUUGAUAAUCAAUUCCAUGUUGUUGCUGAAAGCUCCAAGCGACAAGGCGUGCCUUGUACCGCAUUGGAGAACCAUUGAUUCCAGGUUUCAGUUUAAAGAUCCAUUGCGUUUGGAUUGAGCGUUUACCUGGGGGUAACAAUACUAAUAACCACGUGCAAUUGUCGUUCAUGGAUUGUAGUUUGGAAGCCAUAGCAAGUUGCCAGUGAGUUGCAAGAGGCAUUUGAAAAGGAGAUGUUUUCCCCGCCUUCCAUGUUGCCUGCAAAUUUUUUAAAGUAAGCACAGAAGUUGUCGAAUUGGGCAGGAGGUCAUCGGUGUCGGUGGGGGCGCUGAAAAUGAGGUGGGGCAACCAAGAUAGUAGGCGCGGAUGAGUCGCUAGGAUCUGAUGUAGGUAGUGCGGGGAUUGGACGAGAAGAUUGAGGAUGCGCUAUAGGUUAAGAUGCUGUGUUAUUGUCAGGAGAUAGUAUCCAUGGUGACGAAUUGGUAGUGUUGCCUGGUUGUGCGGUAUGGAGGCGCGGAUCCAUCGAAUGCUGAUAGUGGAGACAAACUGUUGGCUAAAAAAGGUAGUGCAUCCGAAGGAUCUGCUGCAAGCAAUGCGAGCUCUGGAACGUCGGGUGCGGCAAAUGACUGAUCCAAAAGGGUAGGUCCUCCCAUAAUUGGUAGUGGAUCCAAUUUUGUUGGGAGGAAAGGCGCAGGCUUGUUUUCAUGUAUCUGUACAUCAGCCAAGAUUAGUACUUUAUGAGUAAUUUGUAACAUCAAUAUAAAGUACAUCGAUAUAACCAAGAUGGAUCAUAACAUAGGUAGCCUUUUACUUGUGUAUUGCUUUGAUACAAUUUUGGAUCAUCAACGUACACAGUACCUUGGUGGGUGACAUGAUAUUGAGAUAGAUAAGAAGCACAGUACUACUGUGGGUGGUGUAACAUCACACUGAGCAGGGGCGGAAGGCCUCUGACUAAACACUGAGUUGAGCAAUAAAAGGACUGACAUGCUACAAUGAACAGAGAAGACAAACAAAAUUUGGACAUAAGUUCCAACAAAUUUGAUCAAGGGGGGCGAUGAUUUUUAUUUUAUUUUUUGUUUUAUUUUUUGUGGGCUGCUGUCAUCAAGGGUGUUGCUUGAGCCAUUGCAUUCCAACAACUCCUGUUUCAUUAAAACCUUAUUUAAGAAAACCUUAUUAUAUUUAAGUGUAAAACCAUAGAUGAAAGAAAAAAGAGUACAACAUUAUUUCAAGAGCUCAUUAACUUUUUUGCUCAAGAAAAGUAAGUCACUGCAUAUCAAUGCCAUAAGUAAAUCAAUGAUGGUUGCACAAAAGAAGAGCUUUGAUGAGGAGAUCAACAAGGUUAUUUGCAGAUUCAAUUUUCUUGAUCAGUAACUAAAUCAUAGAUGUAACUAAAAUAAUUUACAUCAAUAUGUUUUGUCCUAUUGCCUUUAAUGAAACCAAAUUGCAUUUAUGCAAUAUAAGAGCUAUUGUUUUCAUAUAAGAUAGUGGAAAAAUCAUCAUAUGAAAACCCACAGGUUGUCUAAAUAAAUUUAUUAAUUAGUCGCAACCAAAUAUAUUUUUGAGAUGCUUCAUAUAAGAUAAUAAUUUCUACAUGGUUGGAUGAUAUUAUUGUUAUAAUUUGUUUCACUAAUUUUCAUGAUACUACAACUCCAUGUCUUAAGAAUAUAUAGUGUACUUGAGAUUUAGUUAUUGCAACAUCAGAUUUAUAUCAUGCAUCAAAAUAUUCAAUUAAUUUUGAAUCUAAAGAUUAUAUGUAGUAUAAUUCUAAAUUUUUAGUACCUUUCAAAUAACAUAAUAAAUGUUUGAUAUCAUUUCAAUAUCAUAGUAUUAGAUGUGCACUGUGUCUUGCAAGAACAUUAACUAUAAAUGAAAUAUGUAAUCUUGUAGAUGUAGCUAAAUAUAAAAGUACUUCAAUUCCUACAAGGUAUGGAUAUUGUUCUCUCAAUAUUUUUUCUUUGUCAUCACAUGGAUAGUAUGGAUUAUGACUAUUAUAACCACGCCUAAUCAUUAGUAUUGACAAUUGAUAAGCAUUAAAUAUAUUGAAUCUCCAUAAGAUUUAUCUAAUAUAUGUUAGUUGGUAGAAAAUUAAUGCUACAAUAUGUGAGAUUCAUAAUUUGAAGACCAAUGCAAAAAGUUAUUUUUUCUAGCAUUUUCAUCUCAAAUUCAUGAAUAAGUAGGUUAGUCAUUGCAAUGCAUGCAGAUCUAAUAUUCGCCAGAAUAACAUCAUCAAUAUAUACAAUGAUUAUUACAAAACCAAUUUCAUCUUAUUUGAUAAAUAAAUAAGGAAUUAAUGGAUAAAUUACAAACUUAUUUAUAAUUAAAUAAUCUCAAAGACAUUAAUAUUACAUGCAUUUAGAUUAUUUUAGAACAUAUAGGGCCUUGUGUAAUUUAAUACCAUGAUAUCGCCCUAGAACAAGUGCAUUUAGAGUUCCUAUUUUCAAAGUAGAUGGAAUUUUUAUAUAAAUAUUUACAUCAAGAGAAUCAUACAAAUACAUAUUUUCCACAUUCAUGAGAUGCAUCUCAAGGGUAUCAUGAGCUGUUAUUAUAAUAAUAUAUUAGAAUGUAAUUAAAUCCAUGACUAAAGAAUAUGUAGAUUCAUAAUCAAUGCUAAACCGUUGGAUAAAUCCUUGAGCAACAAGACAAGCUUUAUAGUGGAUUAUUUGACUCUUAGCAUCUUGCUUGAAUAGUAAUACAAUCUCAUAUUCUACAAGGCAAGAAGUAAGAGUAUCUACAAUUGGACCAAAGACUUUCUUCUUAUGUAAAGAAGUAUAUUCUUCUUUGAUGGCAAUUUUACAUUUUAACCAAUCAAAGUGAUGCAUCACUUCUUAGAUGGUUUGAGGUUUAGGAUCAUCUUUCUCAUAAGAAAAAACUUCUACAAUCAUGAAUACAAAUGAUUUAUUUAUAAUAGUAGAUGAUCUAUUCAAAUGUCGUUUAUAGCAAAAUAUAGAAUAAAUAAUUUUGUAUUCAAUUUGAUUUUAUUCCUCUUAAUUUCAAGAUUUUCUAUUGCAUGAGAUGAAGAUAUAAUGUGUAUGGACAUAUUGUCAUUAAUUGAUGGUCUUAUACGUUUAAUAGGAACUUCUACAGAAAUAAUACUAGAAUCACCACAUGUUAUAGCUUUCUUCUUUCAUGAUUGCCUAUCUAGUCUACAAGUCCUUUUAAUUGUUGAUGUUUUAAUUUGAGGUAUAUUAAUUAAUAAUAUUAUAAUCUAAAUAGGUUCAUUUUUAGCCUCAUUAAUUAGAACUCUUAUAAUCUGAGGCGCAUCAUUGAAGCCAUUAAGUGUUUCAUUUGUGAUCUAUUUUAGAUGCAAAAUCUUAUCAACUUCAGUUUCAACUAAAGAUGUUUUAGAAUUAAGAUUUAUUGUAAAUAUUUUUGGUGCUUCAAAUACAAGUAUUAUAUUUCUUUAUUGAUUAAAUAUUCCUUGUCAAAGAGAUAGAAAUAUGUUCUCUUUAAAAUGACAAUUUCGAAAACGUGCACAUUAUAAUGUGCCAAUUGAUGGGUCAAUUAUACAAAUAAUAUUUGAUGAAACAAAACAAAUAUAUAUGCCCUCUAGUCGAUGAGCU